CGACACGGUGGGGGUGGGCACGCGCAGGGCAAUGCCGUUCAGCUUGCCCUUCAGGCUGGGCAGCACCAGCGACACGGCCUUGGCGGCACCGGUGGUGGUGGGCACAAUGUUCAGGGCGGCGGCGCGGGCGCGGCGCAGGUCGCGGUGGGACGCGUCCAGCAGGCGCUGGUCACCGGUGUAGGAGUGGGUGGUGGUCAUCGUGCCCUUGACAAUGCCGAACUUCUGCUCCAGCACCUGGGGUAGGCAAGGGAGAGGGGAAAGGGGAAGGGCCGGGUCAGAGACAGGUGAGCUGACAAGACAAGAUAUCCCAGGGCACUCGGACCCGCAACACCGUGGACGCUCUUGCCGCCCCCCGCAUUUAUUCCUGACGAAAAAGCCACAGCAAGCAACAUGCGUAAGCUUCCUUACCUUGACGAAGGGGGCCAGGCAGUUGGUGGUGCACGAGGCGUUGGAGAUGAUGGGGUACUCGUGCUUGUAGUCGCCCUCGUUCACACCGACCACGAAGGUGGGGAUGUCCUUGUCCUUGGCGGGGGCGGUGAUCAGCACCUUGGAGGCACCGGCCUAUAGAUGUGUGGGGCAAGGCAGGGGGGUCAUGUCAGCAGGGGGAACGAGCUCAAUGGGCGAGCGAGCGCCGUUACUCGUAACGCCAACACCCCCCCACUUGCUAGCGAGCAGUGCCGACCCAAAACGUGCACACCCAAAACCCCCGUCGCUUCCCGGCCCAGAGAUGCGCUUUAAUUGCGGCAUGCUCACCUGGAUGUGCUUGCCAGCGCCAACCUUGUCAAUGAAGACACCAGUGCCCUCAAUGACCAGGUCGAUGUUCAUCUCCUUCCAGGGCAGCUGCAGGGGGUCGCGGCUGGACACAAUCUUGAUCUGCUUGCCGUCCACCGAGAUGUGGCUGUCGUCGACGAUCUUAACAUCGGCGGCGAACGUGCCCAGGGUGGAGUCGUACUUCAGCAGGUGGCUGGCCUGCUUGACACCGCCGCUGUCGUUGAUGGCAACCACGUCCAGCAGGGUGUUCUGGCGACCGUGCCAGCAGCGCAGGAAGUUGCGGCCAAUGCGACCGAAGCCGUUGAUGGCCACGCGGAUCUUCUUCUCCGCGCGCACGUCGACGACGGCGCGGGCAGCCUGCGAGCGCGAUGCAAGAGAGUAGGAUCGGUGAACGUUGACCUGGCAACCCAACUAUCUUAUUUAUCAACUGAUCACACACGUAGCAGAAGCCCGCCGAAGACCCAGCGAGUGCUGGGCUGUGCGACCCAAGAACCCAAGUCCGCAAGCAAAAGCCGAGCCAUGCCCACCUUGGCGCGGACGCCAGACUUGGAGGACACGGCGCUGCCGGUGAAGGCGCUCUGCAAGCGCAAGAAACAAACAGGCGCGGUCAGGACUAGAAGAAAGAGGCGCCUGAGGCGCUUGGGUCGGGAUCACAUCUGGAAGUUCUGGGUGACAAGUCGCUGGUCUUUGGAUAUGUAUUGCUGUUCGGUAUUGAGUGCACUGCGCACCUUCUGCAUCAUGGCGGCCAUUUUGGACAGGACCCGUAAGAGUACCGAGCUUGCUGAGCCCGCGUUGCUUUUAGCCGGUCGGCUCGGCUCGCUCGGUGCCGUACGGGUGGCGACCCAUGCAGCCUUAUCGGCGUCGUACCUCGCGUUCGCCGCUGAACGAGCGCGCGGUGCCCCCUGGAUGAUGCUUGUAAAUCUAGACCCACUCACUGCGACGCGCGCGGGGGUGCGCGGGAGCGACCGGCGCGCGGGGAAGCCCCGGCAUUCUAGUCAAGUUUUGCGGGACUCGCGGCCGACCGCAUUUUAACCAUGGCAAUGACUUAUUGAUGCGAUAGGAGAAACAUCAAAAUUUUCUCUAGGGGUCGACGAGCGCUGCGCGCACGCUGGUGCUUGCACUCAGCUCGAGAACCCGCGACACUCGCGAAAGCCACGCUUUAUUCUUUAUCAUGCUUUCUUCUAUUGCUGCGUAAGUAUUCUACUCCCGGCAAGCCUGGGAAGCAUGCAAGGCAGUCAGGGCUUUCGCGUUCGCGUGGACACGACGCUGUAAGGCGCGAAAUAUACAUCUCACUCAGAAAAGAAUGCGGGGACUGUCCGUUCUAAAGGAGCGCUGGCGGCGUGAGAAGCGACCGCGAGUGCCCAUCGUGCAACAUCUCUAAGGAGCGCUUGGGGAGACACGCCGUGCUGUGGACUUGACCGGGCACACGACGGGUGUUCAGGGCGUGCAAAGACAUCGCGAACUGAUCUUGGGAACUGCGUGACCUUUCGCCUAUCAUGGUGCGGCCAGCGUGGAAGGGCGGGACGCGCCGUGUCGGCCCGACAACGCCGGGACACGCCGCUACUUGUUGUCAGGGUGGGAGCGCUUGCACUGGGCGUCCGUAGAGGUGCAUCUGACAGGUAGCCGCCAGACGUCGGGGUGCAUGCGUAGGGGCAGUGAGGGCUCCAGGGCGUGGCUCCAGGGUGUGGCGGUGCAAAGCGCUCGCGGGCGGCUCGCGUACCACGGUGCUGCUCAAGCCCGUAUCUUGGGAUGACAAAGGCAACGGAUGACGGCGACAGUUGGGUGACAUCAGCGGGCCAUGCGGUGGACUGUUGGUGGACGUGACGCCAUGCGGCUAAAGACGGUGGGGCAAAACAUGUGGGUGCCCAAAUGCUGUACAGCAGGGGGCUGUUGUACAUAGCACUGCAUAGCAGAACUGCCUUGCAGGGGGUUGCUACUUGUCCUUGGUUCUCAUGGGAUGGUGCAAGCAACUGCCCUCUGCCCCCACAACAGCAGCUUGCAAUCAGGCGCAGCCGCGCGCGGCAGGGCUGCUGGGCAUCCAGUCACGCAGCCGCACCCCCGGUCCUGCCUGGUCACAUCCGCCUGCCUAGCCGGCUUCCCAGGCGUUGCCCGCUCGGUCGCGUGGGGGCUUAUGGGCGUGAAGGAGGGCAACUGUGUGACGCGGCUGAGUUAACAGCUCGACAUGCAGUGGCGGGAAGCCCCCAUGAAGGCGCCAGCGCGUGGUGGGCUGCAGCCUUCUCCAGGGGAGGCCCUGCCUCCCAAGUGGCUGCGUGCGGUCGCCACCGCCCCAAGCUGCCACCAGUGCUCGUAUCUUGUAGAUGCCCUCAGGCACCCGGCAUCUACACAUGCGUAGAUGACCCUGACCGCGGCAUCUACACUUAAGCCCCCAAGCCCCCCAAAACGUCUACGCUUCCCCCAUUUUUGCGCCAAAACCGGCCAAAACUGUCUACACUGCGUAGAUGCGUGGCACCCAAACCCAAAAAUUUUUCUCCGCCUUCGGCGGAUUUUGGGCAGAUUUCUACAGUGUAGAUGGAAGAUACGAGCACUGGCUGCCACCUGCAUAAUCCUGUGCGCCCGCGAAGGGGCAUCAUGGUCUUGCAGCUGGUAGCAACGGGGAUGGGCACGCGACCCACGAGCGCGGAGGCUGCAGCGCACGGCGCCCCCGGUGCACCCGUGCUGGGCGCGAGCUUCUCCUAAGCCACGGUGUUGAAGCACAUGACUUGUGGCCUUGAGAACGCAUACAGCUGGAAUUGCCACGGAUGCGGCGACAUUGGGACUUGCCAGGUCAGCCAGGUCCAGGGGGGCUCCCUGGCCAGGUCAGCCCUGUCCAGCCCUUGCGUUACUGCGGUCCCCGCCUUCUCGGGUGCGUCCGUGCUCCAUGGACCUGCUGUCGCAUGUGCGAUUGUUUGGAAGGGCAAUUGCACAGCAGAGCGGCGGUGCGUCGGGGGGUGGGGUGGGAGCGGGGGGGCCGGGGGGGGGGGGGGGCUGGGCCGGGGCUGCGCUGGCACCGGAGUCCUGCACCGGGCCUGGGAUGAUCAUGUGCGCCCAUUCUGGAAGCCUAGCGCCACCGCGCCUGCUACAGUGUUUCGCACAAUCACAUCAGCAGCGAUAACUCUGACCCAAUCUCUCUCUGAAGCUAGCUAGCCCACGCGCUCACUCAGUAAGCUCUGUGAACUCUAAACCGUGCCUCCACGAAAAGGUUGUGCCUUUGGAAUGUUAUACCAACGUAUAGCAACGGAUGCGGACAGUAUAGAGUUGCAGCGCUGGUAAAGACGGUGGAGAACAAUGGGAAGUGCAUGCACAAAAGCAGGCCGGGAGGAAGCUGCCUUCCUCAAGGCGGCAAAGGAUGGUGACUGUGGACAAGUACAGCAGGUGCAGCGGGGCGGUGUCGCGGGAAGCACGUAAUUGAAUGCCGUUCAUGUAGCAGCGCGCUUGCGGAUGCGAUGAGUGGCUAGCUUCAUUUCAUAUUGCACAUUUCUACACCCCAACUCGCGCGGGGGGCGUUCGCAGAGGCCAGAACUUUAACCACCGCAUCAUGCUGGGCUGCCUCUCGCAGGCCAUCCUAAAGCACGUGGACUGGGGCUACAGGGCCCAGACGUGGAAUGGACAGAGCGUCUUCCACCUGGCAGCGCGCUAUGGGCGAGUGGACGUAUUGGAGACGGUGGUGGAGGCGGUCCGGUAUAAUCCCGCUGGACCGGACCAGUGGAAGAAGCUGCUACGGUGCGUUUUGGAAGUGCGAAGCGGGGAGGGACGACGAUGUUUAGCGUGGCGGGGCUCGGCAAGCGCAGGAGCCCGGGCGGGCCCGGGGGGCGAAGCGCGUGUGCGUGUGCAGGGUUUCGUGGGCAGGUUGGGCCGUACCUGGUUGCGCGUUCGUAGUUUUUUCCUGGGAGCGCGGAGUACGGCCCAGUAGAGCACCCCUCGCCCAGCCACACAGCGCCUGGCGCAAUCGCGAGCGGCUCGUGAGGCGAGCUUGCACGAACGGCGCUGCGCGCCUGCGGGGCCUGGGGUCGGGGUGGCGAAGGGAUGAAGGAUUUUGGAGAGAGGGGCGUGGCCAGCAGCCGGCCGGCACGGGGCAAGGGUGCCGCGGCCCAACCAGCCUCCAGAGGUUUGAUGUGGGUCGGGUCUGAAGCUGCACGCAGAUGCCGUGCUGUGUUCGGAGAUUGCGCAGCUAACGGGGUUGGCUAGAAGGAAAGGCAGGCAGUGCAAAGGCGGGUUGAGUGGGGGCGCCGCGCAGCAUGUUGGAAGGCGCCUGGGGGCUGACACACGGGCGCGAAUCUGAGGGGGCUGACGGAGCGGGUUGGCAGGGGGCUGUGGGGUAGGGGUGCCGGGCUGCGGGUGUCGCCGUGUCAGGUGGCAUGCGUGUGUGUGUGUGUGCCUGAUGCGUGGUCCAGCACCCGUGGUCCGCCGUGUGGCGCCGCGGCGCCGCCUGAGCUGUCCUCGCGGCCAGGCGGCCGGCACUUGUGUGCGUGUGUGUGUGGUGUGUGUGUGUGUGUGGGGGGGGGCUUGGCAGGAACCUAGGGCUCCAGUAGGCAUGAGAAUGAGCGCGCAUGGGGCGGCGCUCUCACGGCCGUCCCCCCGCCGCCCCCACAUCCCCGCACCCAAUCCCCACCCCAACCCCCUCCCCCACCGCAGGAUGGGCCACUCCACGGACGCCAUUCUGAAGGCCUACGCCAACCUGCAGGUGCGCGCGCGCGCGCGUGUGUGUGUGUGUGUGUGUGUGUGUGUGUGUGUGUGUGUGUGUGUGUGUGUGUGUGUGUGUGUGUGUGUGUGUGUGUGUGUGUGUGUGUGUGUGUGUGUGUGUGUACAAGCGUGGCACGGCGCUGUGUUAGGACACGAGGAACGGUGCCGUGUGUGCGUUGUGGGUGUCGGGCCGGGAAACAGACCGCGCCAUCAUGUGUUGGAAAAGCAUAAAAAGGGGCAGGGUCGGCAUUGUGCAGGCGAAUGUGCAAGCAAAGCGGGGGUAUCUUUACGAGUGUCCGUUCGUGGUGGGCUCUGGGCACGUGUGGGGCUGGCGCCGCGAACACUGCUGGCAGUGCGCCCUGUGAUGCCAGGGGCCGGGCGGCUGGCGGCGCUGUCGGCCUUGAGGGCUUAGCUCCUAGCUAUGUCCUCCCCGUCCUCCCGUUGUCUUGAGCCUUUGCCGUGUGGUCCGCUCCGCCUUCUCGCUCCACCGACCCAUCCUCUCCCGACUCCUCUGCGGUCGGUCAGUCAUUCAUGCUUAGAGCGCCUCCCGUCCCUGCCUGUUCUACCUCCCUGCCUUCCUACCGGCUCCCCUCCCCGCCUCCCCACCGCCUCCCUGCCUCCCCACCACUUCCCUCCCCACCACUUCCCUCCCCAUCACGUCCCCCCAUGCCCCCCCCGUCCCCCUGUCCCCCUGUCCCCCUGUCCCCCCCCCACCCAGGACGCCCGCUGCCAGACGCCGCUGCACAUCGCCUGCAUCUACGGCAAUGCUGACGUGGCGGCGGCGCUCAUCAAGCUGGGCGCCAUGCCCUGGGCCUGGGACGAGCUGGGUGAGGGCGUGGUGGAGGGAAGGGUGGGGGGGGGGGGGAAAGAGAGAGAGAAAAGGGAAGAGGGGAGUGGCAAGGUUAAGACAUUUGGGGGGAGGGGUAGCCGGUCAUGUGGAGAACGGGGUGGUUACAUCACAAGCCGACAUCCGUAGGGAGUCGAGAGUCUGGACACCCGACCCGGCCCCGCCCACAACCCACCCGCCCCUCCCCCCAGUGUUUUGACAUUGCAACUCCCUCUUCGCUACACUUCUCUGCACCAAUCCUUGCACCGGGAAGGGGUGGGGGAGAGUGAAGAGGGGGUCGCAAAGAUGGUUGGGGUGUAGCCGGUCAUGUGAAGAAACGGAAUGAGGUAAAGCAGUAUGCUGACGUCCGGAGGCUGGAGACCCGACCCGACCCUCCCACAUCCCACCACCUGCCCCCGUCUACCACUUCCUUAACUAGUCAUGCAUGUAACACCCCCCUCCCCCCAGGCGGCCGCACUCCGCUGCACUACGCCGCCAGCAUGGGCCACGUGGACGUCAUCCGGGCGGUGCUGGCCGCAGCCGGCCCCCCGCCCAGCGGCGAGGCGCUGCGGCGGCCCAACACCAGCCGGACCAAGUGAGGGAACCGGGGGAGGGAGGGAAGGAGGAUUUGGGAAAGGAGGGCGGAUUUGGGGUGGCAGGUGCCUGGGGCCGGGGAUGGGGGCGGGGGCGGGGGCGGGGGCGGGGACGGGGGGCGGGGUGGGGGGCGGGGAACUGGAUGUGGGCGCAUGGGGCGUGCGGCGGGGGAUGGGGGCCGGGGCUUGGGUGUGCUGUCCCUGACAUGUACACACACGCGGUCUGCAAACACAAACACACGAACACGCAUUGUGCUAUCCUAACACACAAACGCACACACUGCGCGCACACACAGGCUGGUGGACAUCUGCAACGACUCGGGCUACACGCCGCUGCACUACGCGGUGAGGGUGGGGUGGGUGUGGGGAGUGGGGUGGUGGGGUGGGUGGGGUGCAAUCCCAAAGAAACCAAGACCCAGAACCAGCCCUGGGGGUGGAGUGGGAGUGGGAGUGGGGCCGCACGGGCAGCUGUUACAGGGGGCAGGGUAGCGGGUGUGUGUAGCCCGCUUGGAUCGAUGGGCCCAAGAAUCCAAGGUGGGCAGAGGUGGCGAGGCGUUAGCCAUGAGCACCCCGCAAACUCAGCACAACCCGCCCACCCAUCCUCCCACCCCCUCUACCACUUCCUUAACUAGUCAUGAAUGUAACCCCCUCUUUAAUACACACCGUCGGCAUGAAUAGCUACCCCAUAACCAGUCGUGCACGCCCCCCACCCCUCCCGCCCUCCCCACUCCCAUUACCCGCACCCUCCCGCUCCCCCCCUCCUGCUCCCCCCUCUCCCCCCCCAAAAAGGUGUGGGCCGGCAACACCGCCUCCAUCCGCGCGCUGGUGAGCUACGAGGCGUCGCUGUCGGCUCGCAACGUGGCGUGCGGCAGCGACUGGGUGGUGUCGGCGCUCAAGUGCACGCCGCUGCACCUGGCGGCGCACAAGGGCAACGCGGCCGUGGUGAAGCUGCUGCUCAGCGCCUACGUGAGUGUUGGUGUGGAGGCGGGGGUGGGGUGGAGGGGGUGAGGGGGUGAGGGGGUGGAGGGGUGGGGAUGGGGGGGGGGUGUUCAGGGGGAUGGAGGGGGGGGGUUGGGGUGGAGGGGUGGAGGGGUGGAGGGGGGGUUUAGGCGUGGGGUUGAGGGGUUAGGGGUGGGGGCGGGGGUGGGGUUGUUAAGGGAUAGCGCUAGGGAGGAUUCACGCAGGGCAGGGCAGGUGGCUUGUGUUGUGGAGGGAGAGUCAGCUGCACGGUAUUUCCAAGUCGAGGCCCAGAACCGGAAACCACUCGCAAGCUUCGUCUGCGUCGUCACCAGUACCAGUUGCCUGACUCAGCCAUCCCCACAACCCCGUCCAUCCGCCCCCGCAGGUCCAGAGCCAGGUGCCGCAGGGCUCCGAGCCGCCGCCCGUGCACGACCGCCGCCGCCGCGACCCGCGCCGCCACGUCAACGCCGCCCGCCAACUGCCGUACCACGUGGCGGUUGCGCGCGGCCACAACCACCUGGCCGAGCUGCUACACCCCGACGUGCCGUUCAGUUUUAUUCUGUCGCCCGCCGAGAUGGAGAGUACGGCAAGGCUGUACGGCGUCACGAAACUUGCCGUACUGGCGGCCAAGGUCCUGCAGGCCAAGCUGGUGUCGGACAUUGACGAGGCGCUGGCGGCGCUGGCGGCGGCGCCGGGCCGCGGCGGCGGCGGCGCCGGCAGCGCCGCUGCCGCCGGUGGCGGAGGCCUCGGUGGCGGCGGCGGCGGCGGCACGUUCUCUCGGGCGCGGUCUGGGAGCAUAGCGGCGCUGAGCGGCGCGGUGGCGGCGGCGGCGGCGGCGUCCAUGCGCGAGCGGUCCGUGCAUGGCUCCGUGCACGGCGGCGGCGGCGCGCUGGGGGCGCUGGCCGGCGGCGUCGGCGGCGGAGGCGUGCCGACGGCAGCGGCGCUGGCGGCGGCGGCCUCCGCCAGCCUGGACGCAGUGCUGGCGGCGUCGGCGGCGGCCGCCGGCAAGGAUCCGGCACGGAUCCUGGCGGCGCGCGCGUCACAGGAGAAUGCUGCCGCCGCCGGCGGCUCGCCGGCCACCGCCAUAGCCGUCAGCCCGGUCGCGACCGCCAUGGCGGCGGUCACAGGCGCCGGCGCGGCGGCGGCGGCGGCGGCGGCGGAGGCCAACGGCCAAGGCGGCGGCGGCGGCGGCGGCGUGAAGGGGGCGUCUGGGACGUCGUCGUCUCCGCCGUCGGCUGGGUCGUCGGGGGAUGCGGACCCGCUGACUGUGGAGCCCAUGCCGGUGCGUGGGGGCGGGCGUGGGGGCGGGUGCAUGGGGGUGCGGGAGAAGGAGUGGGUGCGGGUGCGGGGGCUGGCGGUUUGCGCCCUUCCCAUGAGGACUGAGCAUGGGUGGGGUCGGGUGCGGGCGUUGGGGCUGCCCAGCCAUGGGCGGUGUUGCGUUUGGGAUUGGGAGCUGGGCGCUUGCGCCGUGUGCUGGGACUGUGGGUUCCGCCUGUGCUGAGCCGUUUGCCGGCAGCUCCGCAGCUCCGGCAACGCCACCACCGGACCGUGUACGCACCACCACCACCGCCUGCUCCCGCGCACCACUGACCCCUCCUCCUCGUGCGGGCGCCGCUCACUGACGUCACACGCACACACCACUGACCCCUCCUCUGACGCCCCCCGCACACACAGGACGCCAUCGCGCGCGCCCGCGCCUCCGGCGAGCCCCUGGGUGCCGCCGCCGCCGCCGCCGCCGCCGCUACCGGCAUCAGCGCCCAACCGUCGCUGGGCCAGCCCGGCGCAAGUGCAAGUGCAGCAGCACUGCACAGCCCCGGUGCUACCAGCCCCGCCGGCGGCGCGCAGGCGGCGCCGCUGCCGCUGCCGCCCGCGCCCCUGUCGCCGUUCCUGCCGGCGGCUGGCGCCGCCGGCGGCCUUUCGGCUCCCACCUUCAACGACGGCGCCUCCGCCUUCGCCAUGUUUGCCGCGGAGCCCUUCGACGACCCGGCUGCCGCCAAGGCGGCGGCGGCGGCGGCCGCCGCCGCCGGCCAGACGCCGCCGCUGGCGGCGGCGGCCGCUGCGCCGCCGCCGCCGCCGGGCACUGGGCCGCUGCCGCUGCCGCCCGCUGGCAGCCUGGCGUCGGCGCAGCGCAACCGGGCGCAGGUGGUUGCGGCGGGCGGCGGCGGCGGGAGUCCCGACCCGUCGGCCUCGGCGGCGGCCGGCGCGCGGCGGAGCCGGCUGCUGGGCGGUGGCGGCGGUGGCGGCGCCGCCGCCGCAGCAGGCGCCAACGGCGUCGCUGCCAAGGUGCGCGAGAGCGUGUGCUUUCUUUUCGGCGCCUGGGGUCGGGCAGGUUGUGGUUCGAGUCAGGGUAAUUUGGGCAAGCAGGGGGGCACCCCGUCCCACCCUCCGAAUGCGGGUCGGUAGUCGCAUGCAUGAUACGGUAAAGGUCCCUUGAUGGAGUUUUCCCGACCCGCUCAUUACGCAUGUGCCCAUGUACCCCGUGGGCCGCACCGCACGCAGGCGCCCGGCCGCUCCCGCAGCCUGCGUAGCCUGCUCACGGGCGGCCGCCAGCGCCGCGCCGGGCCGGGGCUGGGCACGGUUGGCAGCGGCCGCGUCGGCGGCGGCGGCGGCGGCGAGAUGGGCAUUGCGUCGGACCAGGUGGGGAGGGUUCGUGGGAUUCAGCAGGGCUGCCGAGGGGGUUUUGUUGUGUUUUGUUGGGGGCGGGGCGGGGCGAGGCGGGGCGGGGCGGGGCGGGGCGGGGCGGGGCUGGGCUGGGCUGGGCGGGGCGGGGCGGGGCGAGGCGAGUGGCAGGAGCAGGGUUUCGUGUGUGCCCUUUUUGACACUACGAUGUCAUCUGACACUUAUAACUUCGCUGACGUGGUCACAGGACCUGGAGGACGCGGACGAGCUGGAGGACAUCCUGUUCGCCAUCCAGCCACACGACCAGGCAGAGGCAGCCGCCGCCGCAACCGCCGCCGCCGCCGCCGCCGCCGCCGCCGCGGGCGCCGCCACGCCAAGCGCCGCGCCGGCCCUGGCCCCCGGCCCGGUGCCGCAGAAUCCGGAGGGCUCGGUUGCUGGCGGCGGCGGCGGUGGCGGCGGCGGCGGUCUGUGGGGCCGCCGCCGGACCGGCGUGGCGCCGUCGACAGGCGGCGGCGCCGGCACGGAAGCCGCGCUUCUAGCCGAGGCCUCCCGUAGCGGCCGCGGCGUGCGACAGCCCCACCCAGGCGCCGCGCCGGACUCGCCGCAGGCCGGCCGCUCCGUUCGCGGCGGCGGCUUCUGGCGGCGGCGGUCCGGCACACUGCCCGCGCCGGCGUCGGCGGCGGCGUCGCCGCCGCCAGCGGCGGCGCCGCUGGCGGUGGCUGCCGCAGACCCGUCCUUCCACACGGAGCCCAGCGGCCACGAGGCGAGCCGGCAGCUGUCUUUCCAGGGCGCCAGCGGCGCUGCCUGCAGCGCGGCCGGCGGCGCUACUGUGCAGCCGCUGCCCGACGCCGCCAGCAUCAUCCGCUCGCGUCUGUCCAACGACGCCGCCGCCGCCGCCGCCGCCAACACCAGCGGCGGUGCGCCCGCCAGCCCGACCACGGCGGCGGCGACGGAGCGCAUCGCCGCCACCAUCGCAAACCUGGCGGGCGCCGGCGCAGCCGGCGGCGCAGCCGCCGGCACCGGCGGCGCCGGCGGCGCCGCCGCCGCCAUGGAUCUGGAUCGCGCGGUGGCGGCGAUGCUUGCCAACCUGGCGGAGGCGCCGCAGCAGGUGCUGCGCCGCUACCGGCUGCUGCAGCUGACGCAGGGCGUGGACCUGCAGGACCUGCUGCGGGACCACCAGGAGCUGGCGGCGGCGGCGGCGGCGGUGGACGCGGCGGCAGCGGCGGCGGGGCUGCCGCCGGCGGCGGCAGCCGGCGGCGCAGCCGGCACAGCCGGCGCGGCCGGCGCCGGCGGCGCCGGCGCGUACGCGCCGGCACAGCCGCCGGCGGUGCUUGCGAGCGCGCUGCAGCGGGCGCGCUCGGACGCAGAAGGGCUGAUGCGCGGGGCGGUGGGGCAUGGCUGGGUGGACCGGUCCUCCCGCGCCGGCGGCGGCGGUGCCGCUGGCGCCGGCAGCGGCGCGCUGCAGGGCCAUGGCUCCUACCGCGUCGGCGGCGGAGGCGGCGACGCAUCCGCCCGCGCCGGCUCCGGCGGCGGCGGCGGCGGUGGUGGCGGCGGCGGCGGUGGUGGCGACGCGGCGGGCGGCAGCGCUUUCCUGGAGCACCGGGUCACGUGGCACGGCCGCGGGGGGCCCGCAAUGGCAGACACGGCGGUGCCGCUGGGCGCGUCGCCGCCAAGGGCGCUCACCGCCGGCGGCGACGGCAAUACUGGCAGCGGCGGCGGCGGCGGCGGCGGCGAUGGCCUGACGCCCGCCGCCACCGCCGUCGCCGCGGAGCUGAGCCCCUUCGCCUCGGUGGCCGCGGCGGCUGCGGCGGCGCCCUCCCCGGUGCCGGCGCCAGCCGCCUGCCACGACCUGCUCGCCUUCACGGCCCCCGUCAUGCCCACCUCGGCCUCGGAGGCGCAGCCAACGCCGGCCGGCGCAGCCAGCCCUAGCACCGCUGCUGCCGCUGCAGGCGCAGCCGCGUCGCCGUUUGCCGCCGCGGGGAUCCUGACGCCCGCCGCCAGCGGCACUCCCGCCAGCGCCGCGGAUGCGGGCGGCCGCACCCUGUCCCGCCAGCCCACCGGCACAGGCUUCGCCGCCGCUCCCGGCGCCGCCGCCACUGCCGCCGCCGCCGGAGGCGCCGGCGCCGGCGCCGCCAUGGCUGGGACGCUGCUGCGCGCGCUGUCGUCGCAGGCCGCCAGUGAGAGUGGCGAGGGCGUGUGCGGCGUGUGCUUUGACCAGCCCGACGUGCUGGCCGUGACGGGCUGCGGGCACCGGCUGUGCACGGACUGCAGCCGGGAGCUGUGCAAGCUCAACACCUUCAAGCCGGCGCUGUGCCCCUUCUGCCGCGGCCUCAUCGGCGGCUUCAAGCUGGUGAAGCAGUGAGCGGCGCGGCGGCUGGCAGAGGUUUGGGGGUGGGGGCGGAGGUGUAGGAGGUGUAGGUGGAGGCGGGGGUGGGAGCUGCAGGUGUUGGCUGGAAGAAGACGCGCGGCGACGUGCCGCGCGCGUUCAGAAAAGGGCUAGGGGGCCGUGGAGGUGGACGAAGUGGUGGUGGUGGUGGUGGUGGUGGGGCAGGGGCCGCGGAGGGAUGGGAUGCAGGAGCGCAGGAGGGGGUUCAGGGAGCAGCAGGGGGCGCGCCGCCAUUGCGGCUGCAGUACAGGCCUGGCAUGCACGUGCAUGACGUUAGGCAUAUCACAUGAUGGCAGACAUGCAGGCGGGCGGACAGAGCUGGGGUUGUGUGACUGGGCUUGUGGCCUCAGCGGGCCAGGCCGCAUCUGUUAGUCAGGGUGGGGCAAGGGGAAAGGUGAGGCGACCGGGGAGAAAGCAUGGCUGAGGCUGCUGCUGCUGUGGCGGUUGGGCACGCAACGGAUCCAAAUCCACACACGUGUGUAUGCAUAUGGCAGCUGAGGUCCCGGGGCAGGGGGUGAAUUUCUAUGCGUUUGGCGAUGCAGACCUGCUCUCCGUGCUGCUGCUCGCCCCUGCCCAUGCAUCAGUAUGUGUGACUUUCGUAGGCCAAGAGAGAUCGAGGCGUGCCACGCCGCGCAUUCAAUUAUUUUGCGGUUGCGGCCGUGUAUUUUGGGCUGAUUCUAACGGGCCUGUUUUGAUUUACGUUAUGCUAAUGCCGUGCAUUCCCGAGCGCUUCGCUCCAGAACAAGUACGAUGCAAGCCACUGUCGUUGUGGGUCGCGCUUCUGCUCUCGGCUUUCUAUUGCGUUUUGCAUAACUCGUGGGGGCCUCUGGUGCAGUCUGCCCUGGCAGAGCCGGUCCCGGCGCUCACAUUACAUAACGUGCUCCAGUUGCUUUGCCGGCGCACUGCAAACAGGCUUUUGCAAAAUUGCUGCGCUGUCUAGGCCACGAAGUGACGACGAAAGCAGACGGCUGCGUGUGUGGGACCCUGUGUUGAAACAUUAACGGAAGAAAACCGCCCAGAUGCCGGAGAUACUGGGGCCGUGUGUGAGUGCGUGUUUUGCAUUUGGGGUAUUAUCUUUGCGGGCACUGCCGCCGCCGCUGCCGCGCGGGCGGCAGCAGCUUGGCCUGGCUGUGUGGCGGCAGGGCCCUCCAGGGCUGCUCGGUGCGGGGGCAUGGCAUCCUGGGUUGCGGCGAGGCAGACACAUUCAGUGUGGGGGAGUGUAGCGCAGCACAGUGAGCGGUCUGUAGGCUGUGUGACGCGGCGCACGGCGUAAGUCGAGGCGGCGACGGAGGAUGCGCUGCGGGAGUUUGCGCCCAGUGCGCACCGUGACCAGCUGCGGUGAUGCGCAGAUAGAUGAUUGGGCAGAUGGCGGGUACAGGGAAUGGGGGGCUCCAGUGGCGUAUCGCACACGGGCGGCAAUGUUUGGAGCAUGCAGGAGGCGGAGGGACGAGGCAGGGACCGGCAUAACGACCUGUCGCAUUGCGUGCGACACAGCAUCAGAGCGCACCAAGAGGUGGCGCAUGGCGGAAGCAUGAGGGGAGGGGACGCUGCCUCCGUGUGAUUCAUGUAAGGUAGGCUGGAGCGCCCAGCGUGCGAAAUGGGCGGGAUUGCUGUACGCGGCUGGGCAGGUGUGGGGGCUGGACGCGCCUGCCCCUCCCGGCCCUGAUGGCCAGGGGUGCUGAUGGCCGCCCCAACCGGGGAUGGGCCGCGGUUCCAGACAUGCCCGCGCAGUGUCGAUAGCUACCCCAGCCACAUCUGAGCAGGUGUGAACACAGGUCGAGCCCCGAUGUGAGCAACCCGCCACGGCACAGCUCAACGCGGACCUGUCGGCUGUCGCAUACCCUGACUGCGGCAUCAUCAUGACGUCCCGGUGCUACCUCCCUGGGUGCUAGCUCAAGCCUACAACCCGCUGCAACCCUUAAAGCAUCUUCGAUAACCCGGUGUUUCCGCCUUGUUUGGCUCAGCCAGGCUCAGCACAGCCCAGGUCUCCCCACCCCAGCCCCUUGCAUGUAUGCUUAGUCCGGCUGGGGCUAUGUGUCAGCUUUCUAAGAGGGCGCAUGCACCAUGUCCGCCAUGGCCAUCCCACUCCUUCCCCGCCAGCUUUACCCUGUUCCACUGUCCGCCCUUCUUUGGGAACCCACGUGUCACACUGAUGAGUAACGGAGCGCGCUAAAGCUGACAAGCUGCCUGCUGCUGCGCUGGCUGCUGCAUCGUGGGAAGCCAACGGCCAGAGCUGUGAGUUCUGCUGCGCCCGACAGCUGGCACUUUGAUGCGAAGUCUGCUGCCAUGCAAAGCUGUAACCGCUGGCUUCAGAUCGUUGCAGUGCUGCACGACUGGCUGUUGCUGUGCAGUCCUGCCGCUGUUGCUGUAGCUGCGUAAGAGCACAUGCAAGCAGCAAUUGCGCAAACCCCGAACCCCAUCCGAAAGUCAGAGCCCCCACGCGCCAACACCGCAUGACAACACGCCCGACGAGUCAACCGGCCGCACGCGGGGACAGCAACACACGGGCACAACAUCGACGCACAAUUGGGGCAGCACCGCAAACGCCAACCGCGGCACGCCACGCUCACGCUUCAAUCACGCCCCGCUGCCCUUCUUCGGCACAACCCCACGCGGACCAGCGGGACGGCCCCUGGCCUGCUGCAGAGCGGCUGCUUCCCCAACCCCUGCUGCUGGCCGUGCUGGUGCAGGCGGCGUCGCUGCACGGGCCCAUGCAGCUCGCAGCGACCGCCGCCGUGAUGCGCUCACAGGUGGGGGGCACCGGCGCGUGAUGAACAGACACGACUGUCGCCGGCGGCAGCGCACCCGCGGCACAUGGCAGCGGGCGCGGCGGUCACACGGAGUAAACCGAGCCGCGGUGCCACACUCCGCCACGACCGCAAGCAGCACUUGCCGCCGCCGCCCACCUGCCGCCCAUGCGGCCGCCGCAUCGCGCGGCGCCGUGACGCCCUUGGCUGCGGCUGCUGCAGCUGCGCAAGCCCCUCUCCCUGUCCCUGCCCCCUCCGCUGCAGCGCUCGGAUCGAAGGCUACGGCUGUGACUGGCAGGAGCUGACUGGCGGUGCUGCGGGGCAGCAGGUUGCAAGUGCUGCGCCGCAACCGCGACCGCAGCUGGGCGCCGCCGUUGCAACUGCGGAAUAGCACACGGCCAAAUCAACUGCAUCCGCAUGCUGCAUGCCGCCACGGCGGCCAACUCGCACCACUGUCGCAGCACCACGCCGCCUGGACAUUGCUGCUGCCGCUGCAGAAGCCGCUGCGAUCCGAAGCCCCCGAGCCUGCGCGCGCUCGGAACGCCUGAGCUGCCGGCCGCCCGGCGCGGCCCUGCAGUGCACUGCGACUGUGGCGAGUUUCCUAUGCUGCCGCUGCUGCUGCCGCCACUGCUACAGCAGCCGCCCUGCAUCUGCGCAGCAGCCGCUGGCCGCCAGCACACGCCCGCCGCCAGUCCGCGCAUGGCUAGUGCACCCUCGCCCCCCCGGUGAUCAACCCAUGGCCCGCUGCUGCUGCUGCCGGUCCAGGCCCCCGUGGUCCCCGCUGAGCACCGCCGUGGCUGCUGUUGCUGCUUAAUGCGCCAGCGUCUCAAUCCCAGCCGCCUCGCCUGCCGCCGCCGUUGCUGCUGCCAUUGCGCCCAAGCACAACGGCCGCGCCGCGCGACUCAUCCGCCAGUGACUCAUCCCCAACCCCACGCCGAUUCCACGCAGCCGGCAGCCGCUCACGCUGCCGUGUAAGCUGCCCGGUGUCCGCACAACACCGCUCCCGACCACACACGAUGCAACGCCACGCACGACCGCACACACGCACCCAACACGCUCAAAACGCACCCACGCCGACGCCCGCCCGCACGCGUUCGUCCCCACCUUGGCUCGUCCAGGCCCCUCCACCUUGCCCCCUUACUCACCUUGUGAGACGAUACCCGCACAUGCACCACAGCCGCUCACGCUGCCGCUGCUACGAUAGCCAACUGCAAAUACUGCGCUAUUACACCUGCUGCUGAAUGUAAGCUGCGUCAGAGUAUUGCUGGUGCUGGUGCUGCUGCUGCUGGUACCGAGGCUGCUGCAAGACAGACACGCACACCCGCUGCUGCUGCUGCUGUCGUCCCCACGACGCGCUGCCAAACCCCAACACGACCACCGGCGGGACCUAGGGCUCGAGAAUUUUCUUAAUUUUUUGACGUUACACACGCGAACGUCGUCUUCCCGCAGGUGCAGCUCCGACUACUGUUCCUAGCUCCAAAGCGGCGGGGGUUGGGGCGGCCGGCCGCCCCCGGGGUCGGGCCAGCCCCCCCCGCCGCUGCUCCUGCGCCUCUCCACGCUUCCAGCUUCCAACCCCUGCGCGCGCCUGCGGCCGCUCGCCAGUCCCAAGGCUCCGAUGCUGCUGCUAGCUCCCGCCGAGGGCGCUUAGAACUUCAUCAGGUGCGGGCGGUCGCCGUCCUUCAGGGUGAAGCGGGUCGACAGGUAGCCCUUCAGGUCGGCCGACAGGGCCGGCAGCAGAGCGGCGUCCAGGGUCUUCUGGUUGGCGAUGUACUCCUGGCUGAGCACGUUCUUCUUCGCCUCCGACUGGUCGAAGAACUCCUUCUCGCCCUUCUUGCUCGACUUGCUCUCCACCGCCUUGAAGUAGCUGUCCGUGAACUUCGACAGGUCCAGCUUGGGCAGCGACACCUUGGUGCUGGUGCCAAUCACGUACGCGGCGUUGACGCGACGCACCGGCACACCGUUCAGCUUGAACGGGCCGGUAACGAGCAGCAGGCCCGAAGGCAGCUGGCCCAGGAAGAUGACACGCUUGCCCUUGAAGCGACCGGCCAGCAGAAUCAGCACGGUGCCUGGCGUGAUGCUGGCGCGCAGCUUGGUCUGCUUGUGCACAGCGUUGUGCGACAGAGGCUUGGGCACAUCAUCGGCGGGGUAAAAGCGGGGAGCCUUGCCCUCAGCCUGCUUGGCCACAGCCUUCUUGGCGGGCGCGGGGAACUUGCCGCCGUUCUUCUUCUUGAUCGCCCACAGACCCUUGCGCCUGCAGACAGAGAAGCGGCGGUCAGCAUUGCGGCGGCGCCCACACAGCCGAAGAGUGCGCUAUAACUACACAGGACGCUUCAACCUGCAAAGGUAUACAGGUAAACAUUGCGAGGGCCGCCGGCAACAAGCAACCCGCCGGAAAUGCGCUCACUUGUAGGUCUUGGCCCGGCCCUCAGCGGUGAUACCGCGGGCAACGAAAGUGGCGGGCUUGGCCAUGGUGCUACGUCCACCUGCUGAAAGAGAGAGAGUGGUGUUCGCCUGCCGCUGUGAAGGGUCUCGCGAGUCACAUUGCAUGGGGAAUGGGGGCGGCCGGCAUAGCCCACAUUUCCCAAUCCUAUGACGCUAAACUGGCUUUAUAUUAAUACCUUAAUACAAUAGUUGCGACAGUGAGGCUCUCUGAGGGCUAGUAGACCUAAUCGCGACCAGAUUUCUCCCGCAAGGCCGCUAUAGUAUCCGUUUACGCAUAGGACUAGCGUCAUGAGACGUAAUGGACUGUCGCCAAGCCAUCGUCCAGGACUUUCUGCGUCGGAAGCGGUUUCAGACACUCCCCAGCGUGUGCCUCCCCCACACGCCACUUGGCGGGCCGACGGCAACCGGUUCCUUUGCCCCUCUGCGCUGCAUUGCGAACAUGCCGGCGGCUGUACCUGCUCCCAGAGACUCACUCUUGGUUCAUGUGUGUGGGUGGGUUGCAGGGGUUGCAGGGACAGCAGGCUGUGAUGGCGCAGGCCGUUGCCUGGGGUCCCGCAACGGCAGUAGACAUCGACUGCAGGCCACCUACGCACAACAGCGCAGCCCAUCUCCUCUUGACAGGCUGGUAUCGCUGCUACGGUAGCCUUCUGCUGUGGCCAACUCAGCAUGCAAGAGCCUGGUCGCUGCAUCGGGGCUCAGGGUUACCCCGCGUGUGGCUGCAACGCUACCGUUCCGGGCUCGUGGCGCUAGCCCGACCGCGGCCUUCCCCUCCCCAGUGCAACCCUACACGCGCCCCCUUUCCGUCUGGCAGGAUGCUACGCAGCCCAUCACGCCUCACGCCCUGCGCCUUGGCUUCCCCAUGCAGGCAGCAGCGCUGCGCGCGGCAGGAUGGCUGGCGCCGGCGCCUCGCCGCCUUUGCAGCGCCCGCCUUUGCAGCGCCCGCCUUUGCAGCGCCCGCCUUUGCAGCGGCUUGCCAGGGCUGGGGCCUGCCAGGGCUGGGGCGGCGCCGCUGGGGCCACUCCCUCGCGCGCGGGCUGUCGCUGGCGCAGCGGCACCUGGCACAGGCACUGGCUGCGCGGGCACCGGUGCCGCAGACCGGGGCGGGCAGCGCGCGCAUGUGUGUGUGUGGGCCCCCACCGAGCGGCUGCCUGUGGGAGGCGGAUGCGGCCGGGUGUGCACGUGUGUUCAGACGGCAACGCCGGAGUAGCUGCGCCCACCGAGCUGCCCCCCGGGCGGCACGGUGCUCAUCGCGGGAUGCACGGCACACAGCAAGACACGCCGUACCGCACGACAUGCAGUACCGCACCGUGCCGGCCGAGCCCUAGCCCGGGAGCGGGACAUGCAACGCGGCGGUGGCUGCGGCGGCCUGGCGGCGGUGGCGCUAGGCAGCCUGGCGGGGAAGCCGCUGCGUUCUGUUCGUGCUCGCUGCGGCAUGAGGAUGACUGCGCCCGGUGGUUCUCACCGCCAUGCUCAACCUCGUGUCGCUCAUGCGCCUACGCUCAGUGCCUGUGGUGGUGCGCAGGCGCUUAGGGACGUGGGCAGGCGGGGAUCUUGGGCGGCGCUGGGAGAAGCUGCACGGGAGGCGGAGGGUAUGGCCACCCAUGGGCAUGGCAGGGCAGCUGGGGGCCGUUGCACCCGGCGCCAUUGCACCUGUGCCGGGCGCUGUCCAGCGUGCUGGUGUGGGCCCGGGAAAAGCCGCCAUUACACACACACACACACACACACACACACACACACACACACACACACACACACACACACACACACACACACACACGUGCAUUUGCCGUCAUGCAUGCGCCCAUGCCGUCCCCCGCCUGUUUACUUGCUCGUGGUCGCCCACCCUCCGUCUCUUUCCUAAAUCGCGCAACCCCUAGUAUAGUUAAUUGGGCUGGGACUGGGCUGCGUGUUUGCUCUUGCUCGUCGCGCGCCGCCGCGCUAACAUGUUCCUUCGCUCUUGUUCGUGACACUCCCCUGCUGCCGCCCUGUGCUCUGUUGUUUUCUUAUUCGCUCGUAGGUGAGAAUUUCAUCGAGGAUUGGGCGGGAGCUUGGACUUAGCGGCCAGGAGUAGCGACGCGGAGCUAGGAAUUGUAGGAGUGCUUGGGCCUCACGGUACCGUGAGCACAUGCAUGGGUUUGCACCCUUGAGAGCGUGUGGACACUAAUCCCCCCUCGAGGUUAGAGUAGCGGGGGUUGCGCGAUUUCCGGUUGGUAAGACCGGCGGCUCACCGCAGCAGGUAUGCGAGGUAACUUCAGGUAACAUCCGUAAACCGUCGCUUUGCUGCAUCGCAUACACUGUCUUUGCGCAACGUUUUCCUUGUGCUCUUUAACACACACACACACACACACUGCAUCGCAUACACUGUCUUUGCGCAUCGUUUUCCUUGUGCUCUUUAACACACACACACACACACACACACACACACACACAUUCACCGUCGCUUUGCUGCAUCGCAUACACUGUCUUUGCGCAACGUUUUCCUUGUGCUCUUUACACACAUUCACACACACAUUCAAACACACAUUCGUUUUUAGUGGCGAGUCUUUGCGCUUUGUUCUGGUGCUCUUUGAAAUACAGCGGCCCGCGCUCCAAACCUGCACGUGUGCCGCUGUCAGCUGUCCGCUAGCAACUUGCCGCGGACGCCGCCGUGUGUCCCUACUCCCUACACGGGCACGUGCUGAUUACCGUGCCGGGGAGGUGCGCUGAUCGUGCCCACCUACCCCGCCUACCCGCCCCGCUUGCCUCCACACCACGGGCGGCCGGGCGCUUGGCGAGCGGCCAGGUGCGGUGGCCUGCGGCCACCCUCCAUGAUGCCCUGCAUCAGUGCAUGCUAUGGCCUAAGGCGGCGCGCCGGGCUAGGGGCCCACCGUGGGGCUCACCCCAAGCUCACUCAGGUCUUAGGUGCUCGCCGCCUGUACGUGUUCCCGUGGUUGGCCUGCGGCCCUGCGGGCUACGGCCCCGCCCCCACAUGAAGCUCUUCACUUCCUCAGCCCCCCCCCAAAGUGCCACCGGGUGCCUUCAACACGGCAGCACCCCUGCCUUGCAAAGGACUCUGUGGUGAUGGAGUGACUGAGGGACUGGACCCGCGGACAAAAAGCGCUUUGGCUGGCAGCCAGUGCCUUCAGAGGUCCAGACCGUGGCUUGGUGUGUGUGGGGCACACGCUUGCGGCGUGAUGUUAAGGCUUGGAAGCUUGCGGAGUGCGUGGAGUGCGCCGCGCGGGGGCCUGGCUGAACCUAGCACUCCCAAUGUGGUAAACGCAGGUGGGUCGUGUCCAUCUGUCACCUCUGGCCUCCACUCUCAAACAUGUGCACAUAAUUAGCCUGCACGGCGUGGCUGAAAGGUACAUGGCCAUAAGCCCCCUGCAAGUUGGAGGGUGGGGGCUGGUUCGCAGGGCCGAGCCAGGUCCCGCUGCGCGCGUCGGCGCGUGCUUCCGACCCACACGCGACACGCAACCCAGCCUUGACCUGCGCUGACCCUGUGGCCAACUGUUGCGGCGGGGUCCCGCGGUUCAGUCACUGGGUGCUCAGGCUGAAAGCAAAUCGCUCCUAAUCAGUAAGCAUGAGGGUUCUCUCCUCGGCAUGUGUAGCGCUGAGAUGCUGGCAAGAACGCUGCCAAACGCAUGCAUUGCAGUUGCACGGCUUGCCUUUAACCCUCACCAAACUUCUUGCCUUCAUAGUUACGUGUGCAUAUAACUCCCUGAUUAGAGGAGCGGCCCAGGCUGUUUCCUGCUGCUUCGCUCCAGGACUCGAGCGCGCCAACUGCAGAGCCCAACCUCGCGAGCCAGGCAUGUCGUGUCUAUGGCCGUAGCAACCUUUACUCCAUUAUUCAGCUUUGUGUAAACGCCUGUAGCUGACUAAACGGCUAUCUCCGUGCUCCACGCGUGCAGGCCAGCAUGCCAGCGGGUGAGCGGCCCAACGCGGGCCCUGGUGGCGAUGCGUCCGCGGCUAAGGCGGCAUCUCAAGGAGGGCAGCAGCAACAGCAGACCACGCCGGUCCUGAGCUGGAACGGGGAUACGCAAGUGGCCAUGUUCAUCACGGUCCUGCUGCUCCUUAACCUGAUGAAAUGGGUAGGUUAAACUGUUCUUGAGCAGCCUCUGGGUGCUCAUGUGCAGCGUGCAAUUGUGGCGACAAGUUUGCUGCCGGGCCGCUGCGUCGGCCCUUCCCAUGUCCGCCACCUUCCGCUCCUCCCCCGUCUGCCCCGCUUUACAGGCCAUGACCCCGCCAUGCACUUGCUGAGCAGCAAGCAGCUGGCCGCGGCUGAUGCCUCGGCCGCAGCGCUGGCUGGCUCCCUGCCUGCGCCCCGCGGCUGCGCAGGCGAGCCACAGCAGCAGCAGCAGCGCAGCAGCAGCAGCAGCCGCGUGGCUGUACGAUUGCAAACUGUACCAUAAUCUGCUGCGCGCAGACGACCGAAGCAGCUCUACUGUUUAUAUUAUUAUCUGUGCCUCCUGGCACCUGCUUGUGGCGGGUCCUAUUGUGGCGCUGCUGCGUGUCCGGUGCGGGGGGGAGGGGGGCCGCGCGUGUGCUGCCAGUCGGUUGCACGAUGCCUGAUAGGUCCGCUGCUAAGGUUACUUGGCGCAGGGCUGCUGGGGGGUUACAGCGGAUGGUUAAGAUGGGCGGCCCGCGUGGGGCGGGGCAGGUGUGCCGCAGCCGCGCCGUCACCAGCCACCACCCGCAGCACCUGCGCUGGAGUACCCACGAGAGUGCGGGAAGAAAUGUUGUCAGUACCCAUGGUGUGAUUCUAACCGUUAUAUUGUAUUGGGUGUUGGGUGCCACCGUGUGCUGUCCAUUGUGCUGGUGUUCGCUGGCAGCACAGCCAAGAGGCAGCGUUGACAGAAUGACUGAGAGAUGCAUCCGUCGCACCCAGCAGUGACCCUUGACAGAUUACGUUCGAUGUGCUUUCCUCCGACACCUCCUUGUUACCUUAACUUGUUGCACAAUGACAGCGUGAGAUGCAUGCUGGAAAUGCAGGGACCGCAAAGCAAUGUUGGACUGUUGCAGUAGCGUAGGAGCAGGUAGAUGCACUGGCAUCGUAGUGUGAGGGCUCCUUACAUCCGGGUAUCGGCAGGUCACAGUUCUGGGUGUUGCAGCUGCUAGUAUGUAAUGCUACCAGAAUCACGUGCCGACUCGUCCACUUUCCGUGGGGAGCUCAAGGACUGGCCGUGGACGGAGUGCGUUCGGCUGAGAGCAGUGUUUGCAGCACGACAGCAGCAGGGCGGGUCAGGGGUCAAGGGUGCCCACAAGUGGCCCUCCGUGUACUAGUGUGUACUCCAGUGGCGAGGUCAGGGUGUGUGAGGCCGGAGCCUGAGUGCCUGACGCACAGCAAUAUGGGCAUAACGGUUAGCCCGCCCAACAGCCACUCCCAGCCCUCAACAGGCCACAAAGCCAGCAGUCUUCAUGCACGUGACCAACAUUCACGCAUGGAGAUGUACUUGUGUUGUGCCAUGUAAAACGCACGCGGCGAGCCGUUUGCGGCGCCAAUUGCAACGCACAUUGCAAACCUGUACAAGGAAGGCGAGGCUGGGGCCCCAAGCUAGCCCAACGCACACAAGAACGCACACACGAAACACGCCCGGCACAAACCGCUUAACCUAUUUCCGUUUCUGGCCCGACGUUCCUUUAGCGGGUUACACCUUAACUCAACCUGCCUUAUACCCUGUCCCAUCGCACGUUGCUUCGUUUUGCACGGUGGCCAUGUCCGCAGUGAGCCCGGACUGUAGGUCCGCCCCGCUCCGCCCGGCACUUGCCAACGGCUCCUUACCCGUGCCCACGCUCACUCCACACUCCACAUUUUGACUCCCCGCGCCUCAUACACACCUUGCUCACACGGCGUCAGCAGCGCCCACGCAUGCCUCCGACAAAAUUGGGCUCCGCGCUCGCGGCUCUGCUGCGUACAGCAAUGGCCCUGCGGCGUGCCUGACGCCGACAGCCAAUCCGAAACUGCACGCGCACAUCUCAUUUGGCACUUGAGCAAGCACCAUGCGACCCCGCAUUCGUUCAACCAGUCUUCCAAAUUGCACGCCUCAUAUUCCUCACCCCGCGCUUGGUUCACCCCAGUCCCCCAAGGCAUCGCGUGCCGCCCUUGCGGCGCCCGCCCUUGCGGGCCCCAGACCUUCAACACUCGGCCCCCACAGCACCCGGGCCCGCCCAACAGCCCCUCUGCAGCGGCAGGCCACUCGGCCGCCGCGCGCACACGCUCAAGCACACCUAUCUAGCUUCGCGCUUCGCUUCCUAACACCCCUUAGGUAUUACAACUACGUACCCGGGAGCAACCCACGGCCGUGCAGUCACACCGCCGUGAUUUCAUAGCACGUCCGACACUCCAACGCGCCACUACACAAACAGCAAACAACACCAAGUCCCAGUCCAACUCCUCUAUAUAGCAUGUAAAAAGAAGACGGCCGCUUCCCGGCAUUAACAACUCACGAGGGAAAAGGAUUUAGUGCUCAUCCCCUCAGCGCCAAGCUGCGGGCCGCAACCCAGCUGCUACUGAGGACCUCUUCAGCUGCAGAUCUCACAGCAGCUCAGCUUUGCGGAUCUCUCCAGCAGCAACUCAGCUGUGGGUCUUGAUCUCCUCCUCGCCCAGCAGCAGCUCAGCUGUUGAUCUUGAUCUCCUCCUCGCCCAGCAGCACCAGGCGCCGGAAGUGGCCCAGCGCCCAGAUGGGGAAGAUGUUGCUGCGGCGGCAGGGAGGGGAGGGAGGGGGGUUACAUUCAUGAUUAGUUAAGAAGUGGGGAAGGGGGGAAGGGAUGAAGGAGGAAGAGGGGUAAGAGUGGGCGUUGCAGGUUCAGGACGGAGGGGGGUUUACAAUCAUGACUAGCGAUGGGGUGCGGGGCUGGGCCAGGAAGGAGGGGCGGAGGCUGCGGGCGAGGGUCAAAUGACGUGGUCCCAUGCCCAGGGGCUCAGGCGGCCGGUUGAGGCACGAAAGGACGCAGGUGGGCAAGUGCGAGGGAUGGACUGUGGGUCGGAGCUCCCACUUAGCUGCGCGAAGCAAAUUGGGCCGGGCUGGGCUGGGCUGGGCCACACGGGUGGGCCUGGACCCGGGAGCUGAGCGGAGGUGCCGCCAGCCUCCCCCCUUCAUUAGUAAUCAUGAAUGUAACCCCCCUCGCCGGAGGCCCCCCCCGCUUGUGCGGGCCUGCCUGCCUGCCUGCCUGCCCGCCUGCCUGCCUGCCUGCCUGCCUGCCCGCCUCACCGGUAGUUGGCGUAGGUGAUCAUGCAGUUGCGGUUGAACACGCCGCUGAUGUGCUGCUGCGGCCAGUCGCCGCUGGGCUGCUGCAUGCGCAUCAGGAACACGGCGCCGCGCCGCAGCGGCUCCGGGUCCACCUGGGGCGAGGGGGGCGGGUGUGUGGGGGGCCGCGUGUGUGUAUGUGUUGACGAGGCCCGCCAAGGCGCUUUGUGCAUGUGCGUGUGUGUUGAGAUUACGCCUCUGCGGUGGCCGCCCCAGCUCAGCCCAACCCCACCUGUACGUGCCCCAUGCCCACCACCCCUCCCACCUACCGUCCCACCACCGUGCCACUGUCGCGCACAUGUUCAUGGCAGCGCUGUUCAUGUGUUGACGCUGCCGCCCGUGCCCCUAACACACAUGCCCUGAACCCCCACCCACCCACCCACACCCAACCACACAUCGACACACAAACACAAACACACUCGCCCCCUCCCCCUCACCUUGUGGUAUCCCACCGCCAUGAGCGCCAACAUGGCCCAGGCCGUGUUCACCACGUGGCUGUCCCCCUCCAGGUGGCUGUACACCUGGGGGGGUGUGAGAGUGUGUGUGUGUAUGGUUGUUCAAGGCACACGGAAAAACAAGCGCUCAGACUGAAUAUGCGAUGCAGCCACGGCAAACGAAACGAGUGACCCUGUGCACUUGAUAGUCUGUCGUGUGACCACCGCCCAUCCUAUGCCCUCCUCCCCCUCCUCCCUCCUCCCUCCCUCCUCCUCCCCCUCCUCCUCCCUCCCUCCUCCCCCUCCCGCCCCACCUUGUCCUGGCAGCUGAGGUAGCUCUCGCCCCAGCCGCCGUCCGCCCGCUGCUUGUCCGCCAGGAAGGCCGCGCACCGCCGCAGCGCCUCGUCGUUGGCGUACGUGUGCCCCAGCGCCGCCAGCCCAGUGGCGCCGAACCAGCAAGCGUAGGUGAAGCACACGCCCCAGGAGCCGUACCUGCGCAGGAGGAGGGAGGAGGCGGGGGAGGGGGGGAGAGGGGAGAGGGAGGGGUUGUUGAUACCAGCCCGAACUAAACCGAACCGCGCCAAAGUAGCGGAGCGCAGGCAGAGGCGGCAGUUGCGAGGGGGAGGGGAGGGAGGGGUUGUGUAUACCAGCCCAAGCUGGAACAAGGGAAUUCAGCGAAGCACAGGCGCAGGCACAGCACGGGGGGGUGGAGGUAAGGGAGUGUUGGUUGAAGACCAUUCACAGUACUGUGGGAAACCGGAGGCACGGGAAAUGCAGGACAAGACAAGACAGGCUAAACCCGUGGGUGUAGAGGUGUUGACGAAGAGUAGAACCCGGGAUAGCCGCCCUUGCACUCAUUCUGUUUGUUCCCUUCGACGCGGUCUCUCCAAACCUACCAGGAGCCGUCCUUGCGCUGGAUGGAGCGGAUGAAGGCCUCGGCCCGCUUGAGGGAGGCGGCGAUCUCCGCGGCCCGGUGGCCGGGGUGCUGCCUGUGUGUGUGUGCGUGUGGGGGGGGUGCGUGUGUAGGAGUGCGGGUGAGCAGGUGACGGAGCAGGCGCAGGUUGGGACAGGGUGGGAUCAGGACCCAGGACUCCGGCCCCAACACAUUCUACCAUGGACACACAUGCGCAACAUGCACACGUACGCACACACGUACACAGUCACACACUCGCACACACAGUCACACACAGUCACACAAUUCCGCACCCCUUCCCACACGCUCACUGCCCCCCACCCACCCCAUCCCCCGUUCUCUCACUUCCUGAAGCUGCACAGCGCGGUGAUGCAGGCGCUGGUGCACUCGACGUAGCUGUAGUCCACGAUGAUGUCGCCAAACGUCUCGGCGGGGUUCAGGAUCUGGGGGGGAGGAAGGGAUGGGGGGUGGUUGGGGGAGGGUUGCGGGUUGGGGGCGUGGAGGGGCCCCGGCAGGGGGCGGGGAUGGUUGGGGAGUUACAGCUAAGGUAAGGGGGGGCGGGCGGCUGGGGGAGUAGAACACCGCCCCACCGACACCCACAACCACACCCACACACGCACACGCACACGCACACCCCCCCCCCACACCCACACACACCCACACACAGACACGCCUAUGCUUUGCUGCAUCGCAUACACUGUCUUUGCGCUAUGUGUUCCACGUGCGCUAUGCUUUCCAUGUGCUAUUUAAACACCAACCUCUCCCCCCCCCCACCGCCCGCCCCGCCCCGCCCCGCCCCCACCUCCAGCCAGUGGAAGCUGCGCGUGUUCUCGUACGUGGCCAUGCCGCCGUCCCGGUUCUGGUAGCUCAGGAUGACGUUGACGCAGUCGUACAGCCGCUCGGGCGAGAUGGCGGGGCCCACCUGCGGGGGUUGGCGCGUGUGUGUAUUGUAGGUGUGGGUGUGCGAUGGGACAGUGGUAAGGCAGGUUGGUAAAGUCCCGUAGGUUGGGAGGUGAAGCACCCACCGCAUCCACCGGCCAGCCAGCCACCGCUCUACCCGCACGUGGCUUCCGGGGAAGUCAUCAGGGUUAACUUGAACAAUCUCUUACGCCCAAGAUCUUUAAUGACAUUACGCUCAACCCGCCCCCCCCCUCCCAGCCACCCCCACCCGCCCAUGCCGCCCCUCCCGCCACCAGCUCCUCCGGCAACAGCGCCAGUGUGAGCGCCGCCUUCAGUCCCUCGCACACAUAUGCACACACACACAACCAACCCGCUCCCCACAUUCCCUCCCACCCCCGCCCCCAAUCUCCCCCCUUUCUUCCCACCAGCUCCUCUGGCAGCAGCGCAAGCGUGAGCGCCGCCUUCAGUCCCUCGCUGGAGCAGUCGGAGAUGGGCCAGCCGUGGUCGCGCGAUGAGAAGGGCCAGGCGCCCUUGCUGAUGUGGCGGUAGUAGGCGGACAGCGGCGCCGCGGCCUCCUCAAUCACCUGUGCGCGGAGGGAGGGAGGGAGGGUGAGGGCGGAGGUGAGGGUGGAAGUGUGGGUGGAGGUGUGGGUGGAGGUGUGGGUGGAAGUGACCUCCACUAACAAAUACACUUUAACACUUCUCUACACACGCACACACAACCCACGUAGCAAGGAAGUGACUCCGGCGCCGUUUUGUUAUUGUAUCCUAACACACACCCUCCGCCGCCCCCCCUUCCGCACCUGGCUCUGCUCCACGUACUCGUGCGCCUUGCGCAGGCAGUGGCCCGACACCUGCAGCAGCCCGGCCUCGGCGAUGGCCUGCGCUCGUGCGAGUGAUAUUAUUGGAGGGAUCACAUUCAUAAGUAGUUAAGGAAAUGGUAGACGGUAGACCAUCUUGCGGAACAUGAAGCGUUCGGGGGGGGGCGGGUUGGGAUGGGAGAGAAAUGGGUUGCGUCUUGGCGUGUAGCACCAGCAAUCAAUACUGGAGCGGUGGGCUGCAACCCACAACAACUUGAGCCGGCCGCGAAGCAGCCCUUCCACGAAAAGCUACCUCCCUCUCACUCGGGAUUGGGAAAGCUACAACCCCCGCCCCAGUGCCCUCACUCCCUCACCCACCACCCAGCCUCCCCCUCCCCCUCCCCCUCCCCCUCCCCNNNNNNNNNNNNNNNNNNNNNNNNNNNNNNNNNNNNNNNNNNNNNNNNNNNNNNNNNNNNNNNNNNNNNNNNNNNNNNNNNNNNNNNNNNNNNNNNNNNNCCUCCCCCCCUCCCCCACCCUCCCCCCCUCCCUCCUGCCCGCACCUGCACUGCGAAGCUGGUGUCCCACAGUUGGCUGCCGUUGUAGCCCUGCAUCUUCAGCCCGUCCUCCGCCACCCACAGGUAGUCGUGCACACGGGGCAGGUGCCUGGCGGGUGGGUGGUGGGUGGUGGGGUUGGGGGGUGGGGGUGGGGGUGGGGGUGGAGGUUCGGAGAACUUUGACAUGAAGUGGUAGAGCGUGAGCAGCACUUGCAACGAUUGGAGGAGCGGGAGUGGGAGGGUGUGAGUUGGGAGGAGGAAGGGGAGUCGGAGUGCGGAGGAGGAAGGUGAAUGUGGUCAAUGGGGAAUGGGUGGUGUGUGCAGCGUGCGUGCCAGUGUGUGUCUCCUCCUCCUUCCUCCACCCCCCCUGCCCCCCCUCACUUCUGGAAGGCCUUGCCGCCGGGCUCCUCCAGCCAGCAGGCCAGCAUGUUGAUCACCUUGUUGACAGGCCCGAUGUCCACAUAGCGCGUGUUCUCGUCCUGCAGGCGGGUGCGUGCGUGCGUGUGCAUUUGUAUGUGUUAAAGAGCACAAGGAAAACAUUGCGCAAAGACAGUGUAUGCGAUGCAGCAAAGCGAUUUGUAUUGUGUGCGUGUGUUUGUACUUUCUAAAACAACGCGUGUGCGCGUGUGUUGUAGAGAGCAUAAGGGCUUAAAUUACGCCCGUCAUUGUCAUGGGUAGGUGUCGAAAACCACCACAGGGGGACAGUCAACCCCUCCUCCUCCCCCUCCACCUCCCCCCUCCUCCUCCCCCCACCCCCCUACCUCGUAGUGUAUGUGCUUCAUGCACUCGGCCAGCGCCGCCCGCCGCAGCCAACUGCCCUGCAGCACGUUCUCAGCCUUGUACAGCGCCCACCACAGGAUGUCCUGUCCGGGGUUGGGGUGUCACGGGUGGUGUAGGGGGUUACAUUCAUGCAUUAUAUAGGAUUAUAUAGAUGGGAAAAUAUGGCAAGGGAUCCUCAUUCGUCCACGGAGCACGUUGAGAUCUUCCUACACACGCACACACACACACACACACACACACACACGCACACGCACCUGCACCAGGGGGUGGGGGUAGUACAGGUCCUCCUUGGCGCACUGGUUGCGGGCGGCGUUCCAGUCGACCCGGCCGUACGGCAUGGGGUACAGCUCCUGCCUGCGGCGGCGUGGCAGGCCCACGGGGACAGAGGGCGGGUGUACCAGUGGCGGUGGGUUACAUUCAUGAUUAGUUAAGGAAGUGGUAGACGGUAGUAGGUGGGAGGGGAAAGGGAGCGCCGAGCCCAUGCGUGGGGGUCCUGUACAUGGAUGCGCGUGUAUAUCUACGUGCACUGUGCAUGGCACGCGCGCCGACCCCCACCGCCCCCCACUCCCAUCCCCAUCCCUCCCCACACACACGCACGCCCUCCCCACCUGAUGGCGGCGGUGAGCGGCGUCUCCUGGCACGUGCCGCGCUUGCCGUACACGUAGCUCAUGGGCAGGUACACCUGAGGAGCGGGGGAGGGGGGAGAAGCGGGUCGGGGGAGCGGGGGUUGGUGCCGGGGUUUGUGGGGCGUGUGUGAGCCGCCUGGUGGGUGAUCCGCACCACCCCUAGAGCUCAGGCCACUCGCCGCGAACCCGCCUCUUGCGCGCGCGCCCAGCCCCACGCCCAGCCCUUGACCCUGAGCCUAUCUUGAACCCCAACCCAGCAUCGCCACCAGCGCACAAACACACACACACACACACACACACGCAGCGCCACGCUUUGCUGCACCGCAUACACUGUCUUUGCGCAAUGUUUUCCUUGAGCUCUUUAACACAGCGCCACAGCCACACACGCACCAUGCGGCAGUGGCACCAGAAGCGGCCCGGGUGCAGCAUGCCGAUGCCCGUCCACUUGCUGGGGGGACAGGGCGGGGGAAGGGCAGGGGCGGGGGCACGGGGAAGGGGAGGGCAGGGAGGGCCGUCGGUGUGGUGCGGCCAGUGCCGGUGGCGCCAGGGGUCAGCUCGAAGGCAUGGCGGGUGGCGGGUUGGCGGGGUGGCACCGUGCCAGCAGCGGCGGCGGUUCUGGGGCGUGCCGCGGGGCCCCCUGCCGCGGGGUCCCCUGCCGCCACCCCCUGCCGCCGGUCGGUGCACCGCAGCUCCUGCCCCCGCCCAGGCACUGCCGCACCGCCACACCCCGCGCCGCCGCCAUCCUGGCAAGUCACUGCGCCGGGCCGUGAACCCUACCCGCCUCCCCCGAAGCCCACCCCCCGCAGCCCUCAGCCCCCCAAGGACUGAUGAUGGGUAGCCACCUCCACCCUCCCGCCCUCCUCGCCCUAUUGCAUUGGGUUCGGUUUAGCCCUGGUUAGGCUGGUAUCUACACCCCUCCUUCCUUCCUUCCCUCCCUCCCGCCUCCUCCCUUCCUCCUCCCCCUCCUCACUUGUGUGGCAGCAGCCACAUCUCGGGCGUGAGCGGGUUCAUGCCGUCCCAGCUGUACACGCCCAGCACCGCCAGCCAGAACUUGCCCCAGCUGGUUAUGUAGGUGGCACCGCCGCGGGCGUGCAUCUGGGGGCGGGAGAGGGGAAGGGGUUACAUACAUUCAUGAUUAAUUAAGAAGUGAAGGGGGAGGGGGAGGCAAUUCCAAACCCCAAAUGAAACCGAAGGGGCAUUGCGAGGUUUGGCGGGGGAGGAGAGGGGUUCCAGGCUUGACUAGUGAGAUGAAGACGGUGUUGGGGCAGCGCCGUGUUGCAGACGGGUCAAAAAUGUCCUUGUUGGGAAUGGCGCCGUUGGGAGUGUUGGUUGGGGACUGCAUUUGACUCUCCCCGCGCUUCCCAUCCUCCCCCACCUGCCGUCUAACGAGCGACCGGUAUGCCUAGAAGGCUGGAACCCUGUCCCCCUCUCUCCUCUCCCUCCCCCGAUUCCUUGACUAUGUGGACCAAUUUCGUUGGGCUCGGGCAAUUACCCCCCUCUCCGCCCUUUCCCCCUCCCCCUCCCCCGCUACCCCCUCCCCCGCUACCCCCUCCCCCGCUACCCCCUCCCCCGCUACCCCCUCCCCCGCUACCCCCUCCCCCUCCCCCCCAACCCCGCUACCCCCCACCCCACCCCACUCACCCACUCCCGCGCCUUGACGCACAGCGGCUCCUCCGCCGCCAGCCCCAGCAGCCGGGCCAUCACGUAGCUGAGGGUGGGGGUGCGGGUGGGAGGCGUGCACGGGGGGGGGCCGGUUGCUAGGAUGUUUAGAAAAGCAGUACAGGAUGCACUGGGGGGAGGUUACAUUCACGAUUAGCUAAGGAAGUGGUAGACGGUAGGGGAGGAGUCAAGGACCACCCUGCACCACCCUCCCUCUCCUGCCUACCCGGCAUUUCUCCCCCUCCCUUUCCCGCCACAGCUCCGGUUCUCGGUCUCGGAGCUGGGCAUCGACUACCCGCCCUGCUCCCCGCUUCCCCCACCGCACCCCUCAUGGUGUGGUGCGAGCAGCACCAGGCCCCUCCUCCCUUCUCUCCCCUUGCAUGGACGGCUGACUCCCCCCCUUAGGUUGAUCUGGGAUUGGGACAAGCUGCCCCUCAACCCCUCGGCCCUUCCCUCCUCGGUCCUCCCCCUGGUCUCCCCUCCUCUCCCCCAGUGUGACUCCGUUGUCAAGGCAUAGGCCACGCUCUCCUCCUCGCCCUUUUGCAUUGGGUUCGGUUUAGUUUGGGCUGGGAUCUACACACACACACACACACACACACGUCCUCCCUCCGCCUCCUUGCCUCCCCUCCUCUCUCCCCCUCCUCCCCCCCUCCCUUCUUAACUAAUCAUGAGUGUAACCCCCUUGCUGCUCACUUGAGGCCGGUGCCGAACAUGGUGCUGCCACCCUCAAUGUGCAGACCGAAGCCGCCGUCCUCGUUCUGGUGGUUGUGCAGGUAGCGCAGGGCCUCCUUCUUGUGAGCGGGGCUGAAGAUCUGGGGAACAGGCAGGAGGGAGGGGUUGCAAUCAUGAUUAAUGAGGAAGAAGCGACUUUGGAGCCGGGCACAUAAGUACAGCAGGCGCGUCGUUACGGGGGGGUGACAUUCAUGAUUAUUCAGGCAGUGGGAGGGAGGGGGGAGGGGGGAGAGGGAAGGACGGGGCAUGGCUGGGUUGGAGACGGCGGCGUGGAAAUGGUGCAGCUUUCCACGGAGAGGGGGGUUGUAGAUACCAGCCCAAACCAAAGUGAACCCAAUGCAACCGAGCGAGGAGGAGAGCGUGGGGGGAGGAGGGACGGUGACGGGUGGGGAAGGGGGAAGCUGCCCAUGCAGAAAUCCCCUCAAGUUCGGGGGCCUGCGGUGGUGUGGGCGAGGCGAGGUCGUGUAUGUGCGCGUAUGCAUAUGCGUGUGUGUAGGCGCCUGGGCGCGCCGCCAGCCCGCGGCACGGACACGCGUGUCAUGUCUGCCCGCCCUUCCGGGCUGGCCCCCGCACCUGUGCCCCGGCCCCUCCGAACCGCCCAGCCAAAAGGACUGGCCCUGAUGCAGACACCCUCACGUGCGACUUGCGCAUCACCACAGCCUGGCAAAACACCACACGCGACACGCCCUACCCACCGCGACACGCCCAGCCCACAGCCUGGCCCGACACAACACGCGACACGCGACACGCCCUGUCCUGCAUGCCGUGUCCUGCAUGCCGCAUUCCGCGCAGCCCCAGCCCCCAUGUCCGGUGUCGUUGUCCUCCCCCAGAGCCUCGCACCUCCUCACCUGCCCCGUUCCCACACACGCCUCGUCCCGGCCUAUGGCAUGCAGAUCGCGGCCCUUUCACGAGCCCUUGCUGCGUUUCAUGCCCAUGUGUGGCGCCCCCCUGCAAUGCCCGCACCCCCCUCCCCCCACACGCACACACGCGCACAGCACGUAACCAUGCCCCCCUCCCCGUCCCCCCUUCUGCCCUUGACUCACCCCUCCACACACGCACCUGGUCUAGCGCACCGCAGGUGUAGAGCGUGAUGACCAGGCCAGGCAGCAGAAACAUCGGGCCACCGUAAUCACCCGGAAAGUGGCCGUCCUCCUGCUGCAGGCACUCAUAGAAGCUGAUCGCACCCUUUAGAUGCUCCUCCACGCGCUCAGCGUCGGGCGCGUCAGGCACCGGGCCGGAUGGCGGGGAAUGCUUCUUGGCGCGAAUGCGGUCCGCGGACUGCAGGCGCAGCAGCUCAUCGCCCGAGUGGUGGUGUUUAUCUUUAUUGGCUGUGAACUCUUCGCGCAGACGCUCCGCCUCAGCGCGCUGCUCAGGGGUGCCUGCCGCUGGGUCAUACUCCCAAGUCUGGCGUCCUUUGUUCCCAUUCAGCGAGCGCAGCAGCGGACCGCCAGUUGUGCCGGCAGAAAUGAAUUUCCACAUGGCAGUCCACUAUUUAAGAAGCACUAGACGAAUGCGUUACAAGCCCCCGCGCUUCCUGGGCGCGCUGGUCGCCUCAAGCUCUGUAAGGAGUCAAUAUGGUAUCUCUUCGCGGUUUAGCCUUGGCAGGCCUGGGCGUGCGUAAGAGCACUUCGCUGGCAAAGAGGAGAAGUUGAUGGAACCCAGCUGGUCAGGUCUUAGCUCCCUAUCGCGCAGCAAAUGUAUUUCUAUGGCACCGUGGCGUGCACCAAUGUGUGUAAAAGUGAAGUGCAAGCUCCGCUGGGCGCGCGGGGAUCGCAGGGGUCGCGACCGGCAUGCGCGGGCAACCGUACCGGUACCGUGUGGGUAUGGGCGGCGUGUCCGGCCGUGUCAGGUCGCCGGGUGCAAUCGCUGCCGAAGGUGCCUUACUUUAGUAGCAAAUGUACUCCUUUGAUAAUCAACAUAGAAGCAUGCGCUAGGAGGGUGAGAACCUUGGGGAUGGCGAGUGAUGGUUGCAACCCGAGUGGUGGGUCAGCAACGGGGAGUCCCGGGUCUGCUGGCUACGUGGGCGGGGGGUGGCGGGGGCUGCGGCGUGCCUGUGGCCAGGUCGUCCCAGGUCCGCUGGAUGGCCCGGCCGGGUCUACUGGACUGGGCGAAUGGCCCGGCCGGGCGGCAUCAGGCAUGCUAGGCGGCCGGGCCGGGUCGGCAGGAUGGUUGCAGCAGCGUCUACACAAGCAACAGCAUUAACAUUACCCCAUGUAUGAGGAGUUACCUCGAUAUACAAGGAAGCACUUGGAUCAAAAGCCUAUCCGGUUCGGCUUCGGUCUGCUAGCGUGUCGACUGGCGCGCCCCAGCAUGUCCGUAGGCUCUUGAAUAGGCAGGCCUUCCCCUGCCUUGCAGCAUGCGCUUCUUUCCUAUUCUUUCUGCUAUCUUUUACACACCUUUACUAUCAGUCAAGACGCGUGAUGUGCGCACGGGUCGGGUCGCUGCGGUUGGAUGUCUGUGCUGGGGUUGCGGGUUCGGUCGCAAGGGUGCGGACUGCCUGGGGUCUGGGCGAGCAAUUCGGCAUGACUGGCCUGCUCUGCAGCCGGGGGGCAUGCCCUGCGAGGUCUGCCACAGUGCCACACUCACACGUGGGGUCGUACCGUAUACCCCGCCCGGUCGCUGCUUGUUCGCCUCGCAAUGACGCCCGGCUCACUCGAGACGUCUGGGCACUGAUGACAGCAGCAGGGGGGGGGGUAGGAAACAAAGUGCCAGACCCCAUGCCCCGAAAUCCCCCGGGCCCCCCCUUGAGGGGACGACCGACCCCCCGACGGACAAAACCUUGUUGUUCAGGGGUUAAAACCCCUCCAUUUUAUACCGAGCACGAGCGGUCCUGUUUUGAGACUUCGGUCACAGGCGGAAUCCUAUCCAUGGAAAUCCCCUCGACCCAGACCACCCCGCGCUCAACUCUCUGCCGCGUGACGGUUACACAGUGUGCAUCGGCAGCCUUGUUAGACGUGAACUCAUGCGCACCAGCGCUUCAGAGCCCAGCUGUGUCAGUGCGCAUGUGUUGAAUGUGGAGACAUGUCCAGACAUGUCCACGCCUGGACGCGCAACUUAGCCCUCCCACGCUUUGUUUGCGCUUAGUACGUCAUAACAUGCACAUAUGAGCCUCAUACUGCUGCGUUUGACCCCUAGUUCUGCUUGUGGGGCGCUUCCCGAAAUCCGCCAGGAUGGGCUCCCGAAACCCGACGGAGCCCCAACUUUUUGAGAAUGGAUCCCCCUUGUACCCAGGACGAGGACCGACCCCCCAACUUUGGCGGCCCAGAACUUCCUCACCAGACACCCCCUCAGAAAACAAGGGGUGUCAGCUUUGUACAGCUGGAAAAUGGGCUGAGCCCCUAGAGCAAGGGAUGUGACGAUGGGUACCGGCGAUAUACUGCGACAUAAACAGCACCCUUGCAAGCCCAGCGGGACUGGCAAAGGGGCAUACCAAAGGCACCGCCACGCCCUGUCCACGCCACUCCACACAUGAGCCCGUGAUACCUCAUUCCAAAUCCCUCACAAGCACCACAAACGGCUAGUGGGGCUCGGGCGCGUGAUCCGGGGCCGCGACAUAAUUAAGGCGGGAUCGGCACGCAUGGUUCGGCUGUUGCACAAACUUUCGACAUUCUUGCCCCAAGACGCUUGUCGUCGACAUGUUUUGAUACAUGGAUGUAAGAUAUUCAGGGCCCGAGAGCUAUACGGUACUCGCGGACUGAAGAAAGUCAAGAUGUCCAUGGACUCGCGAGGUCGCUUCUCGCUCCGGCAGGCAGGCAGGCAGGCACGGACAGGGGCAAUCCUGGGGGGCUUCGCCCCCCCUGGAUCGCUUCGCUCAGGGGGCUCAGCCCAACUAGAAGUACGUGCAUAAUGCUCCCCUAAAGCUCUGUAAUUUUGAGCAUGGGGUAAGAACCAGAGCUUUCUCCCCCCCCCCUGACAGCAGCGUGGGAAAGCCAUGCAACAAAGCGAGCCUCGGGUGGGACCAAAAGUCCAAAACCUCCUACCGCACCGUACUCACUCACAUUGUCUCACAUCAACCAACACGAGCCCCAGGCGCUGGCCGGUACCGCAGCAGGCAGCUUGGCGCAAACUCGUGCACAAUCGAGCGCCAGAACUGAUCAUCACGGCUGUGACCCUGUUGCCUGGUGUUGCUCAGUUCAUCAGGGGAAGGCGUGCACGCGAGGUGCGGGGCCGGGCGAGGUGCAGGGGUGCGGGGGUGCGGGGCACCCGCGGCGAGGUGUGUUGUCUGUCCACCUGUCCCAGCAACACGUCAGAGGCCACCGCACCAGCCACCAGAACAAAGGGCACCCCUCCGGGCACCCAAGAAAGCACGCGAAGCAACAACAAACUCACAGAACAGAGCAAGAAACAGACGAACCCAGCACCCAAACCCAACCCACCGCAAGUGCGCGCACAACAGAACGCAGGCACACCCGCACCCACACGCUAUAGAACGGGCCCUUGGACCCCAUACGGUACAGGCCAGGGCACACAGACAGCUGCCAACCGACCGCCACGCACGCCCACGCACAGAAACGAGCGGCCGCGCUCACUGGCCCAGCAACAAAGCUCAGACCAGAAGUUGCUCGGGAACCACCGCGGGCGCAAGACCAAACGCAGGGACACACACCACCACCACGUCGCAGACCGUGUCAUGUGCCCCACUCAGCCGGGGGCACCCAGACAGCGGUUUUCCGCCCACCCCGCGCGCCCACCUAUCCAAGCCAAGCAGCCGCGCGCAGUGACCCAGCAGACCAGGUGCCGCACAGGAACCACCGCAGGUGAACGACCCGCCCCAAACCACUAAAAGGGCCGCUCACAGAGCGCCCGAAAGAACUCCGCUUCCGUGCGCGUCGCGCCCUGUAGCGCCCUCCAACAGCUGCGGCGCCAGGCCCCGCGGGCACACAAGAGGUCCACAGUCCGCCACGCAGUCCCGCUCCCAGGUGCAGACCUCACCGCGGAGGGACCUCAGAACCAGCAGUGCAGCAGCAGAAGGCUGGGAGCGCAGUCCCCCCCUGCAAUUUGGUGUGCGGUGCCGGUCUGGCAAGGUUGUCACGUGCCAGUUGACCCAAUUGUUACGCGUGCGUGUCAGCGGGUGUCAGAAGGCCGUCAAGCUACAGGUUGCAGUGCUCGUAUCUUCCAUCUACACUGUAGAAAUCUGCCCAAAAUCCGCCGAAGGCGGAGAAAAAUUUUUGGGUUUGGGUGCCACGCAUCUACGCAGUGUAGACAGUUUUGGCCGGUUUUGGCGCAAAAAUGGGGGAAGCGUAGACGUUUUGGGGGGCUUGGGGGCUUAAGUGUAGAUGCCGCGGUCAGGGUCAUCUACGCAUGUGUAGAUGCCGGGUGCCUGAGGGCAUCUACAAGAUACGAGCACUGACAGGUUGCUGCCGCUUUGCUACCUGCAGGCUAGCUUGGGACACACAACCCAGCCGCUACACAACCUGGGUGGGGCGAGGCCCCGCAAGCAGCGGCUUUGUAUUAUUUUGGGGCAGUGCACGCUUGAAUGCACGUGCACGGCGGAAGUGAGUAAGCACCCGGUGACUCGGUAAGCCCCUUGUCCCGCGUUCUGGCCGUCUGGCGCCCUACUGUAGUGCCCCACACACGGAACGCCCGUCCCCUGCCAUCCGUCCGCGCAUGUCCUUCCCUAAUGACAGAUAGGCCUUCGGGCGCCCAGCCGUGAGUAAGAGACAAGAUUGUGGUUUCCCUCGCAUGGGAAAAGUGGGCUGCGCCCACGCCACGUCUCUAGUCUGAGGCCGCAAGCGUCUACCUCACCUCCCGGGUCAUAGUCGGGGUCGGUUAGGGUCGGUUCGUGCAGGCACAGCCCGCCAUGCGUCCAGCCACAGUCCGCUGCCAAGCAGCCAGCAAUACACAGGAAACCCCCUAGCCACAGCACUCCUCACUGCUGCGGCCUAUGCUCGCCAGCAAAGACCGCUAACCAGACUGAACCAGAACAGGUCCUCUGCGAAGACGAAAAGCCACAUUGGGCCCCUGAGAAACCGAAACGUCGCUGAUCGGCGAGCAGCCGACGGAGUUAGCAUGCACUGGAGUUGCGUAAGAUGUCGUGGCGAACAAAUAUAUCUUUGCCGGCUUUGAACGGCGCCCCGUGACCGGGAAAGUAUCGGCAAAGGGUCCCACCAGGCAGAGCAUAUUGUUGCUAGACAUGCCCAGCGGUUUUGUCAUGAUAUCGCAUAUCGUAAGAGCAGGGCCAAGUUUGCAAGCGACACCACGAGCAAAAAGCGGCGGCGACCAGCGAACUAGGGUUUAUAUUUUGGGCUUUGCAAUCGACACGGUCAACCAUGAAGCAUACGCUCGUGCCUAUGGGGGCUGCGCGUGCGCUCAAUUAGCAGUCGAACACGGAUAUCCCUCCUGUUCGCCGCUUAUGCGCCUCGUAGUGACGCCCGGCUCACAUUAUAAUUCCUGGGCAACGAUAAAAGCAGAUUAAUAAGUCCAAGCAACAAAUCGAGCAAAACCAAGCUGGUCCGUACACGCACAUGAAGUUACCACAUGGCUUGACAUUCGGUUGGCAGCAGACAGAACUCAACUCAAGAAAACCUGCAUUUUACACGCUAGAUUGGCACGGCCCACAAGAGGAGCCUGGCGAAACCUCCGAGACGUCUCCAAGCUACGUCCAAUCGGCGUGCGCUUCGUUCUCAAAGCAGGUAAGGCUCGCACAUGUUGCCUCAGACUGCAUGUAAAUGCUCCGAAGACCGGGCUGCCAUAAGUGGGGCGGCCACUGUUGUUGCGUUGAGAAGAACCCUGGCCGCCGAGUUUCAGCGUCCUCGGCGAAUGCGUCACGGACAGCGAUCUGGGGCGCCGAGGCUCGAUUGACACUGCAUUUGUGCAAUUUUGACCGCGUUCACGUGUCCUGCCCGCGCAGAACCGAACCAUGGCGUCCCUCGAAUUUUGGCCGGGGCCGUCGGGGCAAGACGGAUGCCACAUGUGCUCGGACGUGGAGAUGCAGGAUUACUUAUUCCAGCACGAACAAGACGGCAUGCUCGGCUUCGACCUGCCGCAUGUCGACGACGACAUUGGAAACGCGGACCCACUGCUGCUUGCGCCGAGUGGCGCCGGUUGCGGCCAGACGCCCGGCGCUGUCUACAACGUGUUGACACAGCUGCAGGCUGCGCCGCUGGGCUCGCUGGCCAUCGUAAAGCAGGAGCCGUCGGAAUCCUCACAUGGAAGCGCCGCGGGCUCGCCCAGCAACGACGGCCCGCUGUCCUCCAGCACGCCGCACCACCCCGCCCACCCCUCCAGCGCCUCGCUCUCCCCCUUCCACCCACAAGCACAGCACCACCACCACCACAGUCGCAACAACACGCUGCUGGGCAGCUGCGCUGCUGCGGGCGCCGGCUUCGGCUCCGGCAGCUAUGACAGCUCCUGCAGCGGCCCGACACUCGCGGCGCCCGCCGAGGUCGGCAGCGCCUCCGUGACUUUCUCCGCAACCGCCGUGCCCGCCGCCGCCACGGCACUCGCGGCCGCCAGCUCCCUGUCACAACAGCAGCAGCAACAACUGCAGCAGCAGUUACUGGCGUCUGGCAUGCCGCUCGUGUCCUUCUCCGCCAUCCCGCUGCCCGCCGGCCAGGAGCAGGCCGCCACCUGUGCACAGCAGGCACACCUGGCGGCGGCUGCGGCACCAUACAUCUCCGCCGCCACCGCAUCCAUGACCUCCAUGCUCAACAUCCCCAACCUGCACACCUACGCGCUCAGCAGUAGUACCCCUGCUGGCGCCGCCGAGACCGCCGCUGGCGCCUGUGCGAACGGCGAGUCGGGCUCGGCGAGCGGUGCGGCCCCCGCGUUUGAGCCGCACAUGGCCGUGACGGCUGCCCCCGCCGGCACCGCCGCCGGAGCGCCUGCCGUCAUCAUUACGCCGGCGCCCGCAUCCGCGCCAACCGCAAGCCUUGUGACGGACGUGUUCGCCUCACCCUUUGCGCAUGCCGGCAUGACGGCGCCGUCGGCGGCGCCGCCGCCACCGUCGCUGCUCGACGCCGCCGUCGCGGUCCAACAGCAGCUCGCCGCCGCCGCGGCCGCCGCCGCCGCCGCCGCCGCUGGCGGCGCCGCCGCCAUGCUGGCGACCUCCACGCCCUCCGCCGACGCCGACAACUUCGCCUUUGCCUUCAGCGGCGAUGACGAUGAUGAAGACCCCUCCUACGGCGCCUCUGCCAGCCUCGGCGGCAAGCGCGGCAGCUCGGCGGCGCCAUCCAAGGCCGCCAGCGGCGGCGGCGGCGGCGGCGGCGGCAACUGCCGGAAGCUGCCGCUGUCGCACUCGACGGUUGAGAAGCACCGCCGCGACCGCAUCAACCACCUCAUUGAGCAGCUUGGGGAGCUGGUGCCGGCCUGUGACCCACGCUACCGAGGCGCAGCAGCCGACGGCGAGGCCGCAGGUGGCGGCGGCGGCCUGAAGCGGCCCAAGCACGCCAUCCUGGCGGAUGCGGUGAUCCGCUACCGGCAGCUGCAGCAGGACAACGAGACACUGCGCCGCCAGCUGGCGGCGACGGCAGCGGCGGCCGCCGCCGCCGCGUCGGGCUUCAAGAACAUGCUCCAACAGCAGCAGCAGCAACAACAGCAGCAGACGGCGAGCGGCGACGGAACGUCAGCGGUGGCUGUGGCUGCGCUAACGGUUCCGUCAACGCUGCCUGCCGCCACUGCCUUCGCUGAGGCCGCGCCCGUGGCGGCGUCCAGUACGGCCGCCGCCAUGGCCACCUCACACUCGGCCGCGCCGUCCCUGCCCUCUUCACCCACGACGCCCGCAGCGGCGUCCGUCGCUGCGCCCAGCGGCGCCGCCGGCGCCGCCACGUCAGCGACGAUGCAGUCUCUGCUCGUCCAAGCCGCCGCCGCCGCCGCGGCGGUGGGAGCCGCAGCGUCCGGUCGCAACGGCGCCGCUGCCGCGCCGGCUCCGCCGCCGCCUGCCGGCAGCGCCCUUGUUCCCGCGGCGGCCGCCUCCCCUGCCACCGCCGCUACUGCUGCUACGGCUGCUACGGCUGCUGCUUCUGCCGGCCUGAACCUGCUGCACCUUCCCUUCAUCAAGGCCGCCGCCGCCGCGGCCGUAGCCGCCGCCGCGUCCGCUUCAGCCGCUGCCCACGGCAGCGCGCCUGCCGCCGCUCCCGCCGCCGGGAUGCCGCAGCUGCCGGCUGGCUUCGUGCCCGUUGGCCUGAGCACACACGGCGCCGUCAGCAACAGCAGCAUCGCCGCCGCCGCCACCGCCACCGCCGCCGCCGCCGCCACCGCCGCCCCACGCUGCCAGCAGGUCUCGGCAACGGCACCACCUGGAGCCGAGCCCAAGGUCCCGCAGCUACAGCCACAGCCACCGCAACGGCUACAGCCGCAGGCGAAGGUGCAGGCACAGCCGCAGCACCAGACGGCGGGUCUGGUGAUGGUGCCGGUCUGGACCGGCGCCGCGCCGGGCGCCGUGCCGCCGCCGCCCGUCGCCAUCGCGCCCGCGCCGCCGCCCGGCUCAUCAUGCACCCCCUGGUCCAGCUGUAGCCACCUAGUGGCAGGCGCCGCCUCAGCAGUGGCGGCCGCUUCCACCGAGCCCUCCUCGUGCGGCUCGGUGGAAGAGGACGCAGCCGCCGCCGCCGCCGCUGCGGCCGAAGUGGAGGCGGAGGCGUCCACCGAGGUGCGUGUGGGCCCAAACAGCAGCGCCUCAGCCUCCGGCUCAGCCUCAGGCUCAGCCUCGGGCUGUGCGGCUGGUGCCAUGACGGCGGCGGCGGCGGCCGCCGCGGCCGCGCCUGCGUUGCCGGUGCUGCCCCAGCCGGCGGCCGCGCCCACCGCCGACGCUGCGGCUGCGGCGGCUGCGGCUGCGGUGGCGGCGGCGGCGGCGGCCGCGGCGGCGGCUGCUUCAGUCUCUGACGCCGCCGCCACCUCCGCCGCUGGCGCCUCCUCGUCUUCCUGGCUGGUGCGCAUCGUGUGCCCGCCCCGCCGGGACCUGGCGGCGGCAGCCACCCGCGCGCUGACCGCCGCUGGCAUUCGCCUGCGCGGCGUUAACGUCAGGUGCGCGCGCGUGUGUGUGUGUGUGUGUGUGUGUGUGUGUGUGUGUGUGUGUGUGUGUGUGUGUGUGUGUGUAUGCGUGUGUGUGCUCUGUGACUCCGAAUGCCCCGAUAUCUCGGCACCGCGUCGUGAUUACCGGCUGUGUGUAAUAGCUGCUCCGUGCAUACUCGCCCCCGCUGUCAUGUGGCUACCUGGCUGUUCCACUAGCUGCCUGACGCCUACCACCUGACGCCUGACACCCCGUGACACCUUGCGUGUAUCCACACCCACACACCCAUUCCCCAUCCGCCACACACACACAGCCCCGCGCCCGGCCCCGGCCACCGCAUGGCUCUGGAGCUGGAGGUGGAGUGCGGCGAGGACGUCAUGCCGCGGGGGCAGCAGGUGGGGCCGCGGAGCGUGUGUGUGUGUGUGUGUGUGUGUGUGUGUGUGUGUGUGUGUGUGUGUGUGCGUGUGUGUGUGUGUGUGUGUGCGUGUGUGUGUGUGCGUGCGUGCGUGCGUGCGUGUGUGCGUGUGUGUGUGUGUGUGUGUGUGUGUGUGUGUGUGUGUGUGUGCUCGCAUGCGGAGUGAGAAGGCUCAUGUGCCAAGGGGCUCCACAGAAUCACAAACUUAUCGCAACGCUCAUGCUCCAUUGAACCACAGGUCGGUGCCAUCCAAUGCGCCAUCCACGCCGCGCUGGCGGAGGCCGCUGACGUCGAGAACGUCGACAGUGGCGACACCACCGCGGCGGCGGCGGCGGCGGCGGCGCACAACGCGCUCAGAGGCGUCAGCGGCGGCGGCGGCGGUCCCAAGCGGCUGAUCCACCAGGCGCCGGCAGCGCCGCCGGGGGGUGGCGCUCGCAAGCGCUCCCGGACCCAUCGCUAGACGCUACGCGCCGCGCCGCUACGCGCCGCUUCGGCACCCUGCGCGAGAGGGGACGCGGCGGUCAAGGCAGGCUGUCAGCUCAUCGGCCAUGCCGGGCGCACGGCGGGAUGUGGGUGCAGCACCAGACACGCCGUGCCGCGGACCUGGCGUUGGGCAAGACAGGGUAUGUGCCAGUGCGGCACGGAAUCCACGUUUCCAGCAAUCUAAUGACGACAUGCAGUCCUGCGCACGAAGAGCACGAAGCAAAGAGCACGUAACAAGCUACUCGGCGCAGCGGGCUUGCCUCGCUGCUUUGCAGAUGCGGUGAGGGCGACUUUCAGUUUGAGGCAGGCGGUAGUAUCGACUUGGCGGCUGUGCUGAUCAUUUCAUCGGCGCGGAGGUGGAUGGGCCGGAGGGGCACCAGCGGGUCAGGGGGUCGCACGGCUAUGUGGUGCGUGGCAGGCGGUUGGGUGUGGCGGUUCUGGCAACCCGCAUCCUAAGGUCGCCCUUCUGUUUCUUGGUAGGUACAUGCUUGUUGUUGGGUAGCGGACGGCGGCACCUGCAGUCGGGCAGAUCCGGUUUGUCCGCGGUGCCCAGGACUGCGGAUUGCGGAGGGGUUUGUGGGCAGGAUAAUGGCUUGGGUAGCGGUAGUAACGGAGGCCUCCUUGGGGUGAUACGACCAGAACACACCGCGCAUGAGGCAACCGCAUGACAGGUCAUGACCGGUCAUCAAGCGUCUGGACUGCUUAGCCGCUAGACAUUGAGAGGUAUUGAAGACAUACAUUACGUGCACAGCACGAGCACAGAUAAUAAUAGCCCGGGCAAACACCUUACAUCGCCGCUCACAGCUGUCCGACGCGGAGUGUUCUCCUGUUGUGGCUGCGCGGCGAUGAGAUUCUUUGUGUGUCGUGCGAGGGAGCAUGUGCGUCCUGUCCUUGGAGCGUAUGCAUGUUGAUCCAAUCUAGGAACCGUCGGUACGAAUGGGCUUGUAUGCUGUGGAUUGGACGGCGGAUGUAUUGGGUCAACUGCUAAGGGGAGUGUUAGGACGCUGGUGUUAGGGCACCUGUGCGAGCGCAGAAUGUUUCUGCGCCUGCGGGUGCUGUGUACGGUAAACUGGUUAAUCGCGGGAACUUCGUUGGGCUCUAAAACGCCACACGAUCGUCGUAUUGGCGGGGCGUUCGGCCGUGGGUUGCUUGUCCGUACGCUUUUUGGCGUCUGGCUUUACAGCAUGAGUGGGAAUUCAAUCUUGCAUUUCAGCAUGAGCGGUAGGAUGGGAGCAAGCACUUGGUGUGCAAUAGCUGUAUGUGUGUGUGUUUCGCUUUGGUGCUGCUGUGGGUAGCGUUCUGUGCAGUGUAGGUGCGUGCCGCAUGCAGCCAAUCGAGGUGGUUGGGAGCGGUUGCGCGCGUGAGAUGAAGAAAGCGUGCAGAUACGAAAAGGCUAGAGACCUGCGUGCAUCAUUCCAGCGCCUGGCAUUUGCUGUGCGCGUGAGGACCAACUGCUGCGUGUUCCAGUUUCGCGCAUUAUUCGAGACGAGCAAGUGCUCUGAGCUGUGGACUUAGGGUGUGAAUGCGAUGGGCGCUAGGACGCAAGAUGGCAUGAGCGUAAUGUUGCGCAUGCGUGCUCAAAGCUAUUAAAGCUAAUCAGUGUUGGUGGCAAGCUUCGACUGGCUUCGGCUGCUGCUGCCUGCUUCCUAUCACGCUGAGUAUUGUCAAUCUGUCGCACUGCUGGCACGCCCUGAAGCGUGUCCUGCAGGCUCACGCGCUAAUCAAUUGCAGCGCUGAGCAAAGCAUAAUAACGAAAGCACGGUUUCUGGGGUUCCCUGCUUACUGCUGGUUGUAGUAGCCGCUGCCGCUGGUGCUGGUGUUGCUAGUCGUGUUGGUGGUGGCGGCGGCGGCCGCUCCAUAGCGCCACCGGCUGAUGGAGUUGAUGCCCUUCAGCACACUGUUCCCGCGGUAUCGUCCAGGGUUUCUUCACGUGAUGAGGCGCUGAUACCAGGAUCUCUAGAUCCCACGUGGGCGAGUGUCCCUGCGUACCUUGGCCGCAGAGGGCAUCGGCACGGUGUAGGGCGCAUGGGGACUGCGGGCCGUAUUGACGUGGCUACUGUUGGGCUGCAUUGCUGGCGCCUGUUGCUGUGAACCUGUGGUAAUAUGACAGGAACAUUUGCCGGGUUUUCAACUCACUAGAAGCGGCCUGGCAUUUCAAGGUCAGCUAGGAGUUUCCCGGGGGUUUCAGUCCCCCGCACGCGCGUGUGCUAGCGGGGCUUGUGUUUAAUGCAUUGCUGAUGCUGCUGGUUACUGGCGGUGAUGAGGGUGCUAAAUGCGUUGCAGAAGUGGAAGAUGUCAGGUGGAGUGGGCUAGUGCUGCAUCUGCGGCUGGAAGUGGAUGACCGGUUGUGAGGCGGCAAAUUCAUCAUGUGUGCCCGGCACGGUUGCCCGGCGCCUAUGCGUUAUUAGCGCGCCCGGCUCGUUUCGGGACGGGAGUCACGGGAGUUUACUAGGCGGUGCCUAGUAGGCGCGUGCGUAGGCCGGCUCGUUUGCCUAGUGUCCGUGACAUACAUGUAGCGGUCACUAGGGAGAGGGGGCCAUUUGUGUUUUUAGCCGUCCUGCGGGGCAAGUUGUAGCAGGCGUAUGCGGGGCAGUGGGGGCAGUGACGCCCACGUCGUUGCGGCGCUAAUCUGUAAUGAAUGGUAGCAUUUUGCCAUUAGCAAGGCUGGCAUAAGGGCAGUUUGGGGAGUGGUUGGUUCAAGCAUGGUUCAAGCAUACGUUGUUGGUCGUGUCGUUGUCAUCGCUGUAAUUUGUAACCAGACAGUUAACCCGUGGCGCUCAUUCCUGUGCCGUGAUCCCGCACUCCAUGACAGUCUCUUUCCAGCCAGCCAGCAAUUUAUACAGUAACUACAGUAACUCGGCGUUCGACCAGCCGCGCACUCCUGCCCUGCCGUUGCAAGUUGUUUGCUAUCUGCUGGGGUCUGGGAAUCAGCUGCACCCUGCGCGACUUCACCAACCUGCCUUAACACUGUCCCAUCGCACGCCCAUGACACCCAAGGCCUCCGCACAACGCCAGUCCUCUCGCUCUGGGAUUCCCGUCGUGUUCCACAAUACAGCAUUCUCGGUGUUAGCAGCCCCUGCCAUCGCUGCGACAACGGGAGACUCAACCAACGUGUUCAGAUGUAGCAAUGAAAGCCCGCGGCUCCACGUCUCGUGCGCGGCUGUGCCAGCCAGUUCCGCAAUACCUAACAGGUCCCCGCCACGGGUCAGCGACACACCACCCAUCCUGCAAACGCAUACGGUAGAUUAGCCUCGGCAGCGCGCACACAUGCCACAUCCCCAACCCCAGCCUCGGCCUCGACCAGUGCCCCACUCCUCACGCUGCCCCACUCCUCACGCGCCCUACUUAUCCUCCUUGUCUUUAUCCUUCUUCCCCCUCCCGCCCCCUCCCCCUCCGCCUGCUCCACCCCCUCCCCCUCCCGCCGGCGCCGCGCCGCCCGCCCCUACACGCUGCCAGCUGCCUGCCCCGCUGUGCGCGUCCACCACGAACUCCUCCUCCACGUCCGUGAUGCGCAUGCCCGCCGGCGCGAAGCCGCUCAGCAGCGCCAGCAGGUCGCGCUCCACCGCCGCCACCUCGCCCGGGUCCACCUGCGGCGGCGGUGAGGCGCGGGGGUGAGGCGCGGGGUUGAGGGCAAUGGGGUUGAGGGUAAGGGGGAGGAAGGGCAAAGGCCAGGUUGAGGGCGAAGGGUCCGGGUUGAGGGUAAGAAUGCGUUAACGGAGGGCAAGGGUUGAGGGUAAGGGAGGGCAAGGGAGGGUAAGGGAGGGAAACGGAGGGCGGUGAUGGGAGCACGGGGUUGUCGUGGGACGGUACUAGAGAGACAAGGGGGCAGAGGGUGUGUGGUAGGUAAGCCCAACGUGCGCUGGGCUGCGCUGCAAGAGGGCGAGAGUCAAGCCAGUCAAACUACUGGUGGGCCGGGCUGGACACCGCUACGGCUGCCCAAGCACUGUGUGAGGUCUCCCCCGCACUGCCCCUGUGGUGCGCCGCACCUUGGGCACCGGCUUGAAGUGCCGCUGCCGCGCGUUGCGCAUGGGCGGCGUGACGCCGUCUGCCGCCUCGGGGCCGUCGGGCAGGGAGGAGCCGGGCGGACCCACCAGCAGCACCUGCAGGCAGGCAGGCAGGCAGGCAGGCAGGCAGGCAGGCAGGGCAGGGGUGACUAAAUGGCUAAGCCCCGCACCCGUGUCGCAUUGUCAUCAGUCCCAUGGUGAGGGAGUGUUGAUGUUCACGCGGCGGGGAAUGCAACUAGGCAUGGGGUCGGUGCGUUCGGGUGCGGGGCGUGCUGCUGAUCGCGGGAGCCCCCUUGCCUGCAUGUGCACCUGAGCCGCCCGCACGCUCGCGCUCGCGCCCGCACCUGCACCCGUGCCUGCGCGCCCUGUUCCCCAAAACCCUACUGCGCCGACCCACCCUUGAGCUCCCAGCUUCACGUCCUGUAACCAUCCUAUGACUGCCAGCUCCUCGCAGCUGCUUCGCGCACCUGGCCGAUGUCGUUGAUCUUCACCAUGUUGAUUUCAUCGUAUGUUUUGUACGCCUCCACCACCGUGGGGAGAUUGAGCAGCUUGACGGGGUAUGACACGCCUUCCACCGACAGGACCCCAUCCAAAUUGUUAUCUGUACGGCGAGGGCGAUGUGCUCCGUGGUCAGAGUGACAGGAGUGACAUGACAGCGACAUAGGCGGGUAGUUGUGAGGAAGCAACGCGCUGUGCAAAGGUACAUUUGGGAAUUGGGACAGUCCAGGGGCAGGGCGCUCGCACAGCACCACCAAGCCACUCAAACCCGCUUGAACUAGCCGCAUGUAACUUCCUUCCCUGGCAGCCCUACCUAGCCCUAGUCCGUCAUGUCACCGCUGCUUGUGCUAACCCCGCAGCCCUCUGGAGUCCCAGUGCACCAUGUAGCGCGGAUGUUUGCGUAGGGCACCAGGCUAGUGGCGGGUGGCACGUUCCGCACGCCAGACCCCAUCGCAAGGCACCCACACGGCCACACGCACCCUGGAAUGUUAGCUCCACAUGCCCGUGUACCGUGGCCUCCUCUCUCAAUACUCUGUGUAGCUUGUCCGCGAGCGCCUCGUCCGCAACACGCAAAACAAACAGCUCCUCGCCGGCUCCACCGCCUGCGCCCUCCGCCAUUGGCCGCUGUUACCUCGUAGCUAAACUAUAAUUUCCGCUGCAUGGCCCAAGCUUUCAAACGCGGCAUGCAAAACUGCAUCAGAGUUCAGUCUUCUUGCACCUGGAGAUAGUUUGAUGAGCGCUCGUGUCCUUUUAUAAUGAUACUGUAUACAACUAAUAAGCAUUGUAUUAAGACCAAAGUGAGACGUUUGCGUCCUCGAUCCGCGACGAGUCAACAUCACAUUGGCUCGACAGCUGGGCAAGAGAAUAAGUCAGCAUCCAUAUUCAACUCACUUAGUACAUCGGCGUAUCUGAUUGCAGCUUGCACGAGAAGUUUGACCACAUGCCAUAAUGAGAAUGGCCGCUGCCCUGCGCUGGGCGUUUCAGCGCUGGCAUCCAUCUGCGUAGCUCAGUAGCUGGCGAUAGUUACGGUCCCUGAAAUUCGCGGCGUGGUCGGCACCCAAAGGCGUGUUCGGGAUGGCUUGCAGCCCCAAGCGGCCCGACCCACUUCGCGAUGCCGAGGCGCGCGUGCGAGCGCUCACGCGCGAGGUGGGCACGCUGCGUGAGGACUUGCGGCGGGAAGUCAAGCGGCGGGAGCGCGCCUCGGCCCAGGUGCGUGCAUGGCGUGAGGGCUGGACAGGGUGCAAGGGUUCCUGUCACACGACCCUCCUUUCCAAGCAUCCUGUCGUUAACUCCUCCCGCACCCUGCAGUCUCGCGAGGCCGAGGAUGCCAAGAAGGAGCUAGAAUCGCGCGUGAACGAGCUCGCAUACAGCAACCGCAAGCUGGCGGGGGAGCUAGAUGCGCUGCAUGAGGCGGCACGGGCCGGCGCGGAGCGGGACCGGCGGGCGCUGCGCGGGUUGCGGGAGGGGCUGGCGGCGGUGGAGGCAGCGGUGGCGGCACGAGCACGCAAGGGCGCCACGCAGGUAGCCUCAUACUGGUGUGCCACUUUGUAGGAAAGGGGCUUGGCUUGGGGUUAGGGCACGCAGCGCAGUGGAGCCAGGGCGCAUGUACCGGUCAUGUACAGCAGUGUCGGCGGCACGUGGUGCGCGUGCGUGUGUGUCUUGCUUGUGUCCUGGGCCUCAUGUGGACUGUCGGGCGCUCAACCGCCCAGUCCCGUCUUCCCGUCUCGCUCGCAGGUUCGGCUGCUGCAGGAGGCGCAGCAGGGGCUGCGGCAGCUGCUGUUCUCGGGCGGCGCAGCCGCAGCCGCAGCCGCAGGCGGCGGCGGCGGCGGCGGCGCAGCCGCCAUCGGCAGUGACCUGCUAGCCAACGUAACGGGCAUAUCCUCGGCGGCGGCGCCGCGGGCGGAGGCACUGCUUGGCUCGGCGCAAGCGGCGGCGGGGCGGCUGGCGGCGCUGCUGUUGGGGGCGGAAGGCGACGGCCUGCCGGGCGCGGGUGGGGAGGAGGAGGGCGAGGAGGAGGAGGAGGAGGAGGAGAUGGAGGCGGGGCGGCUGGCGGGAGGCGCAGGAGCCGGCGAGGGCGGCAGGCUGGCCUUCGACAUGGAGAAGGAGCAGCUCAAAGACGAGGUGGUGGGUGCCUGUGUGCGUGUGUGGGUGGUGCUGCGGUGUGGCAGGCCUGGGAGCCGAGAUCUCAUAAGCGGAGGGGUUUGGGCGCCGAGAGAAAGACCCUAGUAAGGCCGGCCCUUUGUGCAUCCACCAUUGCCCGUCUCAUCAUGCCUCCCGUCCUGCCGUGCUCGCACGUGUGCCGUAGGUUCGGCUGCGGGCGGAGAUGCGGCUGCUGUCCGACAAGGCCGCAGGUGCGCCACACCGUGACCACCCGCACCCGCACCUGGGGGACCGGGCAGCGGGCGGCGAUGCUGCUGCCGGAACGAGAUGCUCGGCCCCUUGUCACCGCAGUGGCCUCGUGACCGGCAUUGCCUGCACACGCCCUGUGUGUGCCGACAACCUCCUGCUCUCUUCCUGUGCCUUGCGUCCUCGCAUGCUCCCCUCUUCUCGCCUCGUGCAUGCUUCGCCCUGCGUCCUUCCUGACGCUCCCUGGGCUCGCGGGCUGCCUCCCACAGGCUCCGCCAGCUGCGCGGCGCUGGAGCUGGCGGCCUCGCUGCGGGCGGCGCAGGACGAGGUGGGGCGGCUGCGCGGGGAGCUGCUGCACGCCAAUGCGGAGGCGGCGGCGGCGGCCCGGGAGCGGGAGGCGCUGGCGGGCGCGCUGGAGGAGGCGCGGCGCAGGUGGGGAUGGCGGGGUGGGAGGUGGGUUGUUUCCCAUCAUCUCGUGAAAAGAAAAAGCAAGAGAGCGAAGAUCAUGGCCUGGAAGCGCGAAGAGGGAGGCGGGUAUGGAUGGAGGCAGCGCGCGCGGUAGAUGGGCGCGCGCGCGAUGGGGCAAAUCGAAAGGCGAUUGCUAAGGCAAGUCGGUUGGCUGUUUGCCCCCCCCCUGUCCCCCGCUUGCUUGGUUUUAGUCCUCAUGGGAACCUUGAUUUGCUUGCGAUCAGUUCAACUAUCCCCUGCCCCAACGCCCGCGCCCUCUCUCGCGCCCGGCCUGCAGGCUGCAGCAGCAGGACGAGCUGCAGAGCGCCAUGGUGGCAGCGGCGCGGCAACAGGAGGACGGCAGCCUGGGCCGCGUGGCGGAGCUCACAGCCAAACGGGUGGCGCUGGAGGGAGAGGUGUGUGUGUUUGUGUUUGGGAUGGGGCGCUGGGGUUACCGCUUAUUUGGGCCUGGCGGGGUGGGGUGAGCGUGUGUGCCCGAGCCGGAAGUACGGCGGUGGUUCAAGCCAGGGGAUGCACCGGCACCCGCGCAUGCCGGUGGUCCCACAUGGACGACCACCGGGGCUUCGGGCUGUGUGUGUGUGGUGCUCUGGUCCAGGGGGCUCGAAGGGGGCCGGCGCCGCGCCUUGCUUCAUCCAAUCACGGCAUACGAACUCCUCUGCACCCCACCCCAACCCACCUCAUGCCACCCUGCCCGCCCCCCUGCCCCGCGCUCUUCCCUGCCCUGCCUGCCCCCUGCGCUGCCCCCUGCCCCCUGUCCUCUGCAUCCUGCUGCCCCCUGCAGGUGUCCAGCCUGUCCCAGCAGCUGGCGGCUGUGCGGCAGCAGCUGAUGGCGGCGCUGGGCGAGCGGGCGGAGCUGGAGGCGGCGCUGGCGCAGAGGGAGUCGGAGCUGAGGCUGGCCAGGGUGAGGGCGGGUUCAUACGAGGGGAUGGGAUGGGGGAGGGGGGCCGGUACGGCCACGGUACCGCCACGGUACGGCCACGGUACGGCCACGGUACGGCCACGGUGGAUCUGCAGCAUGUGCAGCAUGUGCAGCAGCCUCAGGGACGGGGUCAAUCCGUCGCGGUCCCCUCCACAAUGUCGCAAACACUCGCACCUCAAUCCCUUACCCAUAUCCUCUACCUGGCAAUCCCACGCUGCAACCCCCCCCCCCCCCACACACACACACACCAGGCCAACAUCCUGGAGCAGGGCGCAGACAUACGCAGCGCCCUCACGCUCAUCUCCCGCCCGCCCGGGGCCGCAGCCGCCGCCUCCGCCGCCUCCCUUGCCCCGCCGCCCCCACACGCCCACACAAUGCCCACGGGUUCUGCGGGUAUCGGCGCCGGAGGCGCGGCCCUCGGCAGCGGCGGCGGCGGCGCCGCCGCCGGGCUGGACGCUACGCUCGCCGCCGCUUUGGCGCCGUACCAGAACGCCUCUGCGGUCAUAGGGUCCGCCCUCGCGGCCGCGGCUGCCAUCGUCCCUGUGGACUCGGGCGGCACUGCGGGCAGAGGCCCGGCUUGGCCGCCGGGGCUCGCCGGCGCCGGGGCGGGCGGCACUGGAGCAGGCGCCGGCGGCAGUGGCGCAGGAGGCAGUGCUGGUGUUGGUGUUGGUGGUGUUAGUGCGAGUGCGCUAUCAGACAUGACGUCGCUGUUCACGCAGUGGCCGGGGCUCGCCCGCGCCAAGGCAGCCUUUGGCGGAGCCGGCGGCACCGCCGCGCCCGCGUUCCAAGGCCAGGGGCUGGAGGCGCAGCGGAGCUUUUCAUUCGGAGGCGGGGCCGGCGCCGCGUCAGGGGCAGGGGCAGGGGCAGGCGGGUUCUCCGCCAGGGGCCUGCACGUGCCGGCAGCGGCACCACACGCAGCCGACGGUGCCGGCGUCCACGGCUCCGGGGGCAAGCCGUGGAGCUUGAACGCAGGACCGGGACCAGCAGUGGGCGGCGGUGGGGCUGGUUCGGGAGGGGCGGCGGCCGCGCGGUCGCCUCGGCGCCCGGCUGGUGUGCAUGAGGGCUGGAGCCCGCGAGGCGCAGGAGCGCGGGGCGGCGGCGGCGGCGGAGGCGGAGGAGGAGCAGGAGGAGGCGGAGGAGGAGGUCAUGGUCGGGACCUGGACGGCCCCGAGGAGGAGGCGUGGCGGGGCCGGCGGCGUGUGGGCGGCGGGGGUGAAGCGCUGCUAGGGCACGCCAUGCGAGGAGGAGGUGGAGGAGGAGGAGGAGGUGGAGGUGGAGGUGGUGGGAGAGGUGGCGGGGGAGGAGGUGGUGGGUCGGGCAAGGGCCGGCUGGCGGCGCUGCGGCGGGACAUGGCGUGUCUGGAUGACGAGAUUGCGGCCAUGGAGGCGUCGCUGUCGGCGGCGGCGGGGGGCGGGGGCAGGCGCUGAGGGGGACAGAAGGUGGGGUUUAGGUGCUGCGUGUGUGCGUGUGUGUGGGGGGGGGGCGGGGGGUUCGAGGGGAGGGUCAGCAGGCGGCGGGGCGCUUGUGCUGCCGUACGGCGUUUGUAACGAAGGGAUGUAAAGGGGAUCAUCGGCACAUGGCUUGCACCGCCGGGCAGCAUCGACACGUGUGAAGGAAUGCAGGGGAUGAGGGGCUGAAGGCAGCCAAAGGAAAGCAGGUUGAGCAUCCCGCGCUGAGCCAGCGCAGGUGGGGAGGCAGCCGGCACGCCAAGCGUGCGCUGGCCUCGCGUGCUGGCGGACCGCGCACGCUUACGCGACGAGGGCGGGUCGCUUUGAUUGAAGUAAUUAUACUACUUCUAUGUUGCUGUAUCGUCUCGAGCGCCUUCACAGCCCGCGAACGCGCAAUUGCAGAACACACGCGCCUUUCCACGAUUCGGAUAUCCACCAGGCGGAGUCAGAACUCAACUUGCUUGUAUCGGUUUCAAGCAUUACGUAUUAGUUGCAUGGCCGCACUGUAGGACAGCUGAAAAUGCGGAGCCUCGGCCUUUCGUUGACGCUGCUCGUAGCGGUGUUGCACUGCAUGCAUGCUGCCAGAACCAUUCCUAAGCACAGUAUCGACAUUGUAAGCAACACGCACACUCACAAAAGGCGAGGAGGCGACGAUGUGCCGGGCACCAUCAAGCCCACGUACGCGGGCUACCUGAAAGUCAGCCCGGACGGCUCAGCUAUCUAUUAUGCAUACUAUGAGGCACAGACUCAGGGGAAGUCGGAGGAUGCCGGGGAUGCGCCCAUCGUGCUCUGGCUGCAGGCGAGUGCCGGGGGUGGUGCACCCGCGGCAUGCUCACUGCUCCACCCUGUGCGCACACUGGAACACACCUUACGGUCUGGAGCUUUCCUCGGGGGUCGUCCCGGAUAGGACCUACACGAAUACGCAAAUGUACCUGUGCAUUUGCAGUUUGCUUUCCACUUGCCCAAGGGCCGAUCGCUUUCGAGAGUGUGCCGCACUCUCAUUGCGGGUGCCUCCCCUAUCCUGCGUCUGCUGUCAUGGCAGUAGUUUUGCAAGCAAGUCCUUGCAUGCACCUACUUAUCCUUGAAAUGAACAUAACACACUUACAAACCGUAUGGCCACAACGCUGCCGCUGCCGCUGCUGCUCCCUCUGCAGGGCGGCCCGGGCUGCGCCUCCACGUUCGGGGGCUUCUACGAGCUGGGGCCGUGGUCGGUGCGCGAGGACCUGAGUGUGGAGCCCAACCCGGGUACGUGCGGGAGUUGGCACGUGUGUGUGCGUGUGUGUGUUGUGUGUGUGUGUGUGUGUGUGUGUGUGUGUGUGUGUGUGUGUGCGCGUGCAUAUGUGCGUGUGUUGGAGGUAACGAGGAGUACUGUGUUCCUAAAUGGCUCAGGUUACCAGGUGCAGGGGACCGGGGCUUUUCCCGAACACGAGUGUGGCCGGCCGGCUCCCGCGGCCCUGCCUCCCACAGCCGUGUUCUGAGGUGCCCAGGGCCUCUGAAGGGGCGGGUAUGGAACGCCCCAACACGUCAAGGCCACCGGCCACACAGCAGCACAGCACAGACUCCUCGCCGGACGCCUCCCUCCCCCAUUCCCAACCUGCUGGGCUGCUUGUUAGACUGCGUCACACCGUGGGUCUUACUGGGAACGGGGAAACUCACCUCCCCCUCCACCACCUGCCACACACACACACACGCACGCACGCAAUGAAUCGCAGGCUCCUGGAACCGGCUGUUCGGGCUGCUACUGCUGGACCAGCCAGUGGGCACCGGCUACAGCCUGGCUGCCAACGGCAGUAGCAGCGUGCCGCCGGACGAGAUCGGCAUGGCCACACACCUGUACACGGCGCUGCAGGUGGGAACGUGUGUGUAUUUGGGGUGUGUGGGGGGGGGCGGGGGUUUGUAAAUACCAGCCCUUAUUAGACCGAACCCAAUGCAAUAGAGCGAGGAGGGGUGGGCCGGGGCCGGGGGCCAGCCCAAAGCCGGGGGCCAGCCCAAGGCCCAAAGCCAACCAAACCAAGCCAGGGGGUUGGAUGCAGCAGCUUGCUGGGCAUGGGUAAGUGGGGUGCGUGUGGGGUGCGUGUGGGAUGCGGCUAAGGCCUGGCGAGUUGCACCCCGGCGAGUCCAUCAUGAGCCCAUCAAGGGAUGCGAUGCACACAUACGGUACACACAUUCACACACACGUGCUUGCUUGUCGCUUUCCUUCGACACACACGUGCACACACACGCCUUGCUCAACCCGCACAGGGCUUCUUCACCAGCCACAAGUCGCUGGCUGACCGCCCCUUCUUCAUCACCGGCGAGGUGUGUGUGUGUGGGGGGGGGGCAAGCAGUUCAUUCCAGAACCAGCCCACAACGGGGAGGGCACAGGGAUGCUGGGGACGUGGUGAGGGGCGGUAGUUGUGUGGACUCAUGCUUGGGCUUGGGGUGGGCCAAGUCAUGCGUGCAUAAGUUAGCUGGCGCAAAGCCGCGUAACAAACCUUUCUCCCUGCCGCAUGCUGCGCGCAUUAAUCCAUGCUUGUAUGUACAUGUCUAACAUGUGUGAUUGUUUCUUUGCGUGUGUGGUGCCUACAGAGCUACGCGGGCAAGUAUGUGCCGUCCAUCGCGCACUACAUCCUGCAAGUCGGCGAGGAGGCGGGGCAGCACCAGCACCAGCAGGGGCAGCAGCAGCCGGGCUCCAAGGGCCCGCUGCUGAGCCGGCGCCGCAGCCUGCCGCUGGGGCAGAGCGCGCCCGUGUUCAAGCUGGCAGGUAGGGGUGGGGGGGCGGGUAGUUGGGCGGGUGGGUGCAGGAGGGUGGGGGGGAGUUCCUUUCCUGAAAUAGUUGGGCGGUUGCUUAAAACGGACAAACAAACACAUGCGCGGUAUGCGAGGGUCGAGGUUUCCGUACAAGGCUGCCAAGCCAGCGCAGCUCGCCAAGUCGCCUUUCAACUCGCCUUUCCCGCCAAGCCGUGCCCACUGCCCCCCCCCCCCCGUGAUCAUCUUACUGACGUUACUACAAUACGAUCAACCUACUUAGAAUAGUCUUUAGACAAAAUGGGAGAGCAGCAGCAGCAGCCUUCGGCGGGUCUACGCGCUGGAGCUGGCCGCUGGACUUCACGGACAUCGGUAACAACGCGUCUACGCUGCAACUGUACCUGCCUACGACUUCACUUCUUAAUUAAUCAUGAAUGUAACCCCCCCGCUCCCCUCCCCCGCCUCCCUCCCCUCCCCUCCCCUGACCCUCCCCCGCCCCCCACCUCCCCUGCACGCGCCCUCCCCCCCCCCCUCCAGGCAUCGCCAUCGGCAACGGCCUGACAGACCCACGGGCCCAGACCCAGACGCUGGCCGCCGCCGCCUACUACAGCGGGCUGCUGCCGCCGGGGCUGAGGGACGUGGUGGCGGGCCGCGCAGCCGAGGUGGUGGGGCUCAUUGAUGCGCGGCAGUGGGCGGAGGCGCACGACGCCCGAGAGGCGCUGCGCGGGUGGGUGGGCGGGUUGGGUUGGGUGGGUUGUAAUGGGUGGGUGGGUGGGCGGGUUGGGUUGGGUGGGGUGUAAUGGGUGGGUGGGUGGGCGGGAGGGUGGGUGAAGACACGGUGACACACGCACCUGCUCUUUUGUUGCCCGCCCUACCCCACGCCAGUCAAGGGCAACUUCCCCCCUCUAGAACCCAAUUUUGGCUUCCCUCCACCCCCCAAAUCCCUUGCGAAUGUGUUUGCAACUUCGCAGCUUCAUCACCAACGCCACGGGUAUCGCCACCAUGUUUGACACGCGCCGCACGGAGAUGUACGACCCCAGCAGGGCCGUGGACCGACUGCUCAACCUACCCGAGGUAGGGGCGUGUGUAAACGUGUGUGUCGCCGUGUGUGUAUGAGUGUGUGUCUUAAGGUGUGUGUACCGUAUCGUAUGCGUGUACGCCGUACGCCACGCCCUAACACACGCGCUCGCUUGCUGCCGACGACCCUGCCGAUGGUCUUAAUAGUCACGGUCAGUACCCCAUCGCAGCCGCAUGCCCCACAGUUUGUCACUGCUGCUGUUGCUACUGAGCCUGCUGCUCCCCACACCUCCCGCCACCCGCCCCCCAACCCCACCCCACCGCGCUCAGGUGAAGGAGGCCAUGCGCGCGCGGCCCGACUCCAACUACACCUCCUGCUCGCAGCUGGUGGGGGGUGUGAUGGCGGCGGACACGAUGCAGUCGGUCAAGGCGCUGCUGCCCGACAUACUGCGGCGCCUGCCCGUGCUGCUCUACCAGGUGGGCGGCGGGGGGGCGGGGGGCGGUGUGUUUGUGUUGUGUGUGGUUGUGUUAUGUGUGGUUGUGUGUGUGUGUGUGUGUGUGUGUGGGUGUGGUUGUGCGGUUGUGUGUGUGUGUGUGUGUGUGUGUGAGGGGGGAGUCUCUGUCAUGUUGUUGUGGCCGUCGGUAGGUGGAGGGGCAAGUGGGGAGGGGGUGCGUGAGCGGUUGGGGACAGGAGAGGUGCAAGGGAGUGAAGCCACUGGUGGGUGAGGACGCCAAAGGGAGAAGGGGAAAUCCUGCGCCCAUCCACCCGCCCUCACGUGCCCACACACAAAGUAUACCACCCCAUCAUACCUCAUACACAAACACACCCGAUUGCCGUACACACACACACGCGCGCGCGCGCGCACGCACACACACACACACACACACACACACAGGGUCAGUACGACAUUCUGGACGGCGUGGCCUCUGUCACCUCCUGGACGGAUGCGCUGGAGUGGGAGCACCAGGUGUGUGUGGGGAGGGGGCCUAGUGGUGGGUUGAUGGUGGUGGGGGUGGUUGAGUGGUGGUGGUGUCAUGGCUAAUGGGUACUGGUGGCAGCCUGGCGGGGUGGAGGGUAAACCAACAGCAAACCCAGUCAGGAACAUGAGACGCCAAGGGUGGCGGUGGGGUGGUCGAGGAAGCGCUAACCGGGCGUAUGUUGGAGAAAGGGACGGCGCUAAACCAACAGCGGAGUGACGCGCCGUUGGCGACCACGGCGUCACAGCCGGGGGGCCAAGUGUCGAGCGACCAACACCCUGCCUUUCCCCCUUGGUUGGUUUAUAGUUUGGGCUGCUAUCUACACCCUCCCCCCUCCCGCUUACCCUUCCUGCCCUGCAGGCGGAGCUGCAGACGGCGCAGGGCUCCCUCUGGUACCUGGCCUCAGACGACGACGACCACGAUGACGACAAGGGUGGCGACGGGCGCCGAGACCUGCAGGGCGCGGCUGCGGGCGGUGCGGCGGCGCGCUCGGCGGUCGGGAUCAGCCCCGACACACGCGGCCAGAAACCGGUGAGGGGGUUGGUUGGGUGGGUGGGUGGGUGGGUGGGUGGGUGGGUGGUUAAGUGGGUGAGUGGGUGACGCGUGUCUCCGCUUCGGACAUCCACGGGGCCACCACACAGUAUCCGGAUGCGAGGCAGACCCUCCCCCCUCCCCACCACCACCACCCCAUGUGCCCAUCCGUGCCCGCUGUACCCUUCCCCCGCCCACUCCCUCCAAACCCCACCCGCUUCCCUACGCUCCAAUCCAAAUCUUUUACAACCCGCUGGUCGCUGCGCACAGGCUGCUGGCUGGCGCCGCUCCGCCGGCCCGCUGACGCACGUGGUGGUGUAUCGGGCCGGUCACAUGGUGCCGCACGACCAGCCGGCGGCGGCGCUGCAGAUGAUGGAGGGCUGGGUCAUGGCGGCGCUGGAGGGCGCAAAGUUUUCUUAGUGCUUGAUGGGUGGUGAGCAGGCGAUGGCGUCGGAGGUAGUUGGGAGGCUGGGGAGGGGGCGUGCGUGACUGUGUGAGCAAAGGAGCUAGGUAUCGUAUGGGCAGCUCACGUCUGGGGAAGCUAGGGCGGCAGGUUGUGAUAACGGUAGAAUGGGUUGAGGCGAAGUGAGCGGGAUUGCCAAAUGGGCCACUGUGUACCAAAUGCAGCGCUGCGGGGUACUGCCGGUCAAGCACGAUGUCGCGGCGGCGCUGUGUGCUGUUGGGCUCGUCGUGUGGCCGUGUGGGCACCGGGGGUCCGUGCAUGGGGAAGAAUCAGGCGACAUGGGCCAUGGGCCUCCCUUUGCAGUGCCAAACAAACAAUUUUUGUAAAGUUUCAACUUACAAUACAUCGUCGCUUUCGCUGCUCAAGUUGGAAACCCGAAAUUGAUUAUUUGAGAAAAAGCGGUUUGUCGGGCUCGCAGAACAAUAUCACUUGCGCUUGACCUCAACUGCAAAAAGAGAAAACUACAAGCGCCCAGUCGUAGUUCUGAUUCCCAAGAAACUGUGUUUGCUUGACACAACUUCAAGCUCUCCGAGCCGCUGAGCUAGCAACAUGGACGUAGACGAGCAGUUGGAUGAUGAACUGGAAGCGGCCUUCGAGGAGGCGUUUGAGGAGGCACCAGCGACCGCGGACGAUGGCGCGGGCGCGGGCGAUGCUGGCGAUGCCGGCGAGGCCGCGGGCGCAGGGCCAGGCUUGUGAGUCCGGCUUUAGGCCAUGGCAACGGGUGGCUGUGAUGGUGAAGGUUAUGUGUGCAGGGGGUUUACACAGGCUGGGCGCGCAGCCUGGGCAGGGUGAGACGGGAUAGCUGGACAGGGGUGGGGAGGCACAGGCAGGGGCCUCUAGGGGUCACCAGGUUGCUGCUUUGCGUGUCCACGCCCAUUCCUGCAGCUGCUGUUGCCCCGGUGCGGCCGGCCCACCUGUCGCUCACGUGCCUCCAUCAAGCCCCCUGGCACCACUAUCGGACCAGAACGCACGUGCCCGCGGUGCCCCGCCGCAAACACACACACACACACACACACACACACACACACACACACACACACACACACACACACACACACACACACUCACUCACUCACUCACACACACACACACACACACACACACACACACACACACACACACACACUCACUCACUCACUCACUCACACACACACACUUACUUAUACACACACGCACACACACACACACACACACACACACACACACUCACACACACACACACAUACACACACGGGUACACACACACACAUACACACACACUCCCCACACACACACACGCCCUAGGGACGAGGACGACUACGACGACACGGACGCGCCCGCACGCGGCGAGCCCGCCACCAAGCCCGACGACGACUCCACACUGCAGGUCAGCACUUGGCCCCCCUGACCCCUGAUCCCCUGCACCCUGUGCAUGUAUCCUGGCCCCCUGCUAUUGUGGGAUGGCGCAAGCACUCCCCCUGCCCCCGCCUUGCUGCUAUCACCGUAGUCAAGGCCAGUGGCACCUGGCUCCGUCCGCCAACAGUGCGGAACCCGGGCCAUGCAUGCCUACCCCCGCCGCUGCUUUGUCGGUCUCGCAGUGUUUAGCAUCGUCGCUAACUGGUGGUGCGCGCUGCCCUCUGCAGGUGUUCCGCCUUCUCAAGGACGGCGGGCAGGGGGCCGUGGGGGGCCGCGGGCAACCCGCAGCAGCGGCCGGGCCAAGCCAGGCGGAGGAGGCGGCAGCGGCGGCAGCACCGACGUCUGCGGCGCCUGACCGGGCAGCAGCCUACAAGAAGGAGUGAGCUGUGGGGCCGGGGUACGGGGCCGGGGUGGGGCCAAAGUGGGGCCCGGGUGGGGGCAGGGUGGGGGCCGGGUGGGGCCCGGGUGGGGACCGGGUGGGGGCAGGGUGGGGGCCGGGUGGGGACGGGGUGGGGACCGGGUGGGAACAGGAUCGCGAGGCUAUGACGGGGAGAUUGACCGGCGUGCGUGCGCUGCUGCGCCAGGGUGCUUCCCGGUUGUACCGCAACCAACAGGGGAAGGGUGUGCAGCCUGCGUGCACGUGCUUGUGAGCUUGUGAGCUUGUCUCAUGCGUUGUGUUGGGCGCCCUCGCCAGCGCCUCAACCCACUGCCCCCCCGUCUGUCCUGCAGGGUGUUUGACUCCCUGACGGAGCAGCAGAAGAGCCGCUUCGAGGCGUUCAUGCGCUCGUCCAUACCCAAACCCAAGAUGAAGAAGGUAGGGGCCGAGGCUGCGUGCGGGAGCUGUGGGAGCGCUGGGCCUGUUGGGGGCGGCGCACACGGCGGCACACCCUGCGUGCGGUGCACGCAUGCACCUCGACAGCCUUUGGGGCACUGCUGCACAGUGCUCCAGCACACCUUUGCAACCCACGUUCUCGAACCUACCACGCCACGCCACGCCACACCCCACCACACCACACCACACAACACCACACCACACAACACAACACAACACACGACGCCCCGCCCCACUAUGCCUGACCCCUACCACACUCGAACCAAACCCCUAUCACACUCGAACCAAACCCCUAUCCCACUCGAACCGACCCCCGCCACGCUCACGCAGUUGAUGACGGCCAUCCUGCGCAACGCCGUGCCCAACGAGCGAGCCAUCAUCGCCAUGUGCGGCAUCAGCAAGCUGUUCCUGGGCGAGCUGGUGGAGAUGGGUGAGGGCGCGCGGCGCGGGGUGCGGGGGCCGGGUUGUGGCAGCUUGGUGCUGGCGAGGCGUGGCGUGGCGUGGCGUGGCGUGGCGUGGCGUGGCGUGGCGUGGCGUGGCGUGGCGUGGCGUGGGGACAGGGCGUCGGAGCCACAAGGGCUUGCAUGGUCGCCAAGCAGGCCGAGACCCGUUGCAUUGCGCCGAGAGCGGGGGUUGCCAAGGGCGGGGGUGCAUGGGCCGCGGGCCGCCUUGUCAGGGCCCUGCGUGUUCAUUUUACUGCCGCGCGCGCUUGAGACGCCAUGCGCACAGCAUACCGUGUGUCCUUGUAACCCGGGCACUGCGCCCGACCCAACCCAACCGUCGUGCCCCGCUCUCGCCGCCCCCCCCCUCCUGUCCCUGUCUACGACUUCACUUCGUAAACUUAAUGCAUGUAACCCCCCCCCCUCCUGCAGCGCGUGUGUGCGCCUCCCAGGAGGGACACACCGGGCCGCUGCUGCCGCGCCACGUGCACCGAGCCUACCAGCAGCUAGGCGGCCUGGGUAAGCUGCCACACACACGCCGCGGCGGGCCGCCCAGCGGCAGGCGCAUGUUCCGGUGAACGGGGUACUGUCUGCGGGAGGCGGGGUUGGAGCGUUUUGGGUGCUUGCGGCAGGGGAGCGGCGCGAUGUGUUGGUGGCGGGGCAUACUCGCCUGCAUGGGGUUGAGCGUCUUGGAGCAUUGGGGCUGCGUUGGGAGCACUGCCAGCUGCCGUGAAGGAUGGCGGCAAGGAGAAUGGGAAGCAACAGCCGAUUGUGAGUGGCGUUGGCAGUUGGUGCCGGGCUGCUGGUAUCAGCAGGUGUGGAUUCCAGUACCGGUAGCUUGUCGACGGCUGGAAAAGGGGCUGAGACUCUGCUAUCAGCCCCGGCCGUUUUACAGCAGAUAAAAUGGCGAAGAAACUAGGGAACGAGGACCCUUACGCGGCCGGACUGAUCUGUGGUUGUAUACGCGGGAUAGAGCUGGGGCGCGCCGGGCGUGCCGCGCGGGAUUGGCUUUGGCGCCGCAGUCUCAACACUCUGUAGUCUCAAUUAGCGGUGUCUGCAUCUUUUUCUUGAGCUCUUGGGUAACUACACGAUCACCCAUGUCACUUCUCCGCAAUCUUAUACGGAGGCGGGGGCAGACAAGCUCCCGCAGUCAGCCGCACUUUUACAGCGAAUCAACUUUUAGAGCCACCCAGCUCACGACCAAGGGCGGGCAGACGCGUGCUAGCUGUAUUGCAGGCGGAGCUGCUAGGGCCUGCCGCUGAUGCUUUUACUGCAGCGGGAGCGGUUGCCGCACGGUGGCGGCAAGACCAUGGCGAGGGCGCUGCGCUGCGCUGCAGCGGCGACGGCCAACACGGACGCCAACCCGGACGUAAGUAAUCUGGUUCAGUGUAUGCUGACCUGCAUUACACCUUACACCUGUAUGUCAUGUAUAUAACAGUCCUCGAGCAAACGGCACAGCAGCUGGCUGGCGGAAGGCCCAUGGAAGAGGUCAUUGCCGGCUGGGGCAAUGCCAGCACUGGCUACGGAGGCUGUGUCAGCAGGUCAGGCAGGGGCCGAAACCAGGCGUUGCUGCAUCUGCUGGUGGACAAGUACGUGCACCUGAUGGUGUGUGUGGACGAGUAUUCAUAAACCAGCCAUCAUGUAAGCUAAGACGUUCUCAUAGGGACUUGGCAGGGUCCGUUACAUCGCGCAAGCAUCCAACUACAUUGUCGAGACGGUGCAGGUGUGCGGACAUGCAUACAGUGCUUGCUGGUAAUUUGCAACACUGCCUGCAAGUAGUGAUUGUGUUUGGUGGUUGGCGUGCCCGCAGGGUCCAAGCGUGCCAACACUGCGGAACUGUGUGGCAAAGUCUGCCUCGAGUACGGCCAGUUCAGGGGGGCCAGGGCAAGUUUCGGAUUCAGGUUCAGCUGAUUCAGUCGGAAUAGAUGUAGUAGAGGGGCAACACCUACUCAAUGACAAGCAUGUGGCACACGCUGAUGAAGAUGCUGCUUGGUAGGGUGCGGCCUACGACCCUGAAUUGUGGUGGAGGCGAUAGAGGCAGCAGUGGCAGGGCCUGCUGGUGACUGCGGCCACAAUGCAGGGUCUCGCGGUAGUGGUAGCGGUGCAGGGCCUGGGUGGCGGCGUGCAUGUGCAUAGCGGAGGGGGUAGGCAAGCAAGGCCGUGCGCAGGAGGAGCACGAGCGCGGCGCCACCCAAAGAAGUGGUGCCGGCGCGCAGGUUGAGAUUUGCCGGUGCCUUGUUUGAGCCUAUGCUGGCGAGCAUGUCCUAGCAUGUACCGUAUGCGGUCGUCCUGUCAUUGGGUUUGGGGCCACGCACACUUCCACGGGGUGUAGACGUCUUUGGGGGCUUGGGGCAGUAGAUGCUGGGGGAGGGGUGGGGUCGUCUGUGAAGACGCCGCGGGGCCUGACGGCCAGUGCUCGUAUCUUCCAUCUACACUGUAGAAAUCUGCCCAAAAUCCGCCGAAGGCGGAGAAAAAUUUUUGGGUUUGGGUGCCACGCAUCUACGCAGUGUAGACAGUUUUGGCCGGUUUUGGCGCAAAAAUGGGGGAAGCGUAGACGUUUUGGGGGGCUUGGGGGCUUAAGUGUAGAUGCCGCGGUCAGGGUCAUCUACGCAUGUGUAGAUGCCGGGUGCCUGAGGGCAUCUACAAGAUACGAGCACUGCUGACGGCAUCUACGGUACGGGCACUGUCAGUCCUGUGCCAGCUGUGCUUGUGCUUGACAGCGGGACACGGCUGGACACAUGGCGGGCGGGGCCUGUACCAACCGACCCUGCUGGCUACGUCCGGGAGAUGAGGUAGUUGCGAAACCUUCAGACAUGCAGCAUGGUGCGGGCACAGCUGAGAGUCUGAGACUGAGGGGAGGGUCACCUUUUCUUGUCAAGAGCUGGGUGAGACCACCGCAUUUCAAUGUGGGUAUUGCGCCCCGGUCGCAUCAAAGAAGCACCGGCAUUGCUCACUUGCUCAUUCACAUCGGUUACACUUGCGAAAAGCAUCGCCUGCUUGACCCCCUGCUCAACGCGUGAGCUUGCCCGCCUAGCUACUGCUGGCCCCACGUUGCGGCUGCACCACGCCAGUGUACGCAUGCGGCUACUUGAGCCCACAGUCCCCUCAAUACAUGUCUGCCCUGAGACGCCCACACGGAAUCAUCGCGGAAGAUACUGGACACUGAUGUCAGCAGUUCGCAGUGGAAGCAGCUCACGACUCAGCUAACUGACACAUGCACACUACCCAUGCUACGGCAGAACCAUGCCUAUUCAUUCCCACUUCAGCAGCGCAACGCCGCCUGCGCCAAACGCGCCUCCCUCGAAUGCCGUCAGCACCUGCUGCUCCCCUGCCGCCGGGCUGUGCGAGACGCUCACACAGCCGGGGCCCAACGCCGCUAGUGCCGCCGCCGCCUGUCGCCGGCCCGGGCCGCCGCGCUGCGCCGCUGCGGCCGCCGCUGCCGACGCCUCAUCCAGCAGGAUCUGCAGCGUCGUGACCGCAUUGUCACGCGUGAGCGCCACAAGCACCACAUUGCUAGCCGCCGGCUCCGCUUCCAGUUGCUGCUGCUGCUGCUGCUCCGGCUGCUGCUGCUGCUGCGACUGCCCGUGCAGCGGCUGCAUGACCGCCGCCGCCACGCCGACCAGCUCCGCCGCCGCUGCCGCCGCCGCGGCAGCGGCGGCCUGCGCCGCCGCCGCGCUGGCGUGCACGGCCUGCUGCUGCGCCGGCGAGAUGCGGAAGGCGCCGCGUGAGGCCAGGGCUGCAAGGUCGCGGCCGGUGGUGGGCAGGGCGCGCAGGCCGGCUAGCCUGAAGCCCUCGGCGUGCAGGGCCUCUAGGGCGUCCGCCAGGCGGGCCCAGUCAAGGGUGGGAGCGGCGGCGGCGGCGGGGCCACCCAGGCCGCCCAGGCUGGGAUACGCAGCAUCUGCGGUAUGGGGGUAAGAAAGGAGCAGGGAGGUGGGCUGGCGUCAGAUGGUGGCGACAAUGCGUCAUGGUGUGUGGGAUUGCUUAGCGAGACCGGGGGCAUGAGCUCAGACGAGACGGGCAGGCGCACCUGUGCCGGCGGCAUGUGUUGUUCCAGGAGUGACCACCAUCGCCGUCAGCUGCAGCAGCCGCGACCCCUCCGGCCGCACGAACCGCCGCGCCGGCGCGCCCGGCGCCACCGGCGGAGCCGCCGCAGCCGCCGCGCUCACGAUGGCCGUGCCGCCCGCCGCCGGCCACACCUCCGCCACCACCUCCGCCGCGUCGCGCCAGGUGUCGCACGUGUACACGCCGCCGCCGAUGGCGCCCGACACGUGCGCGCCCGCGCCCUGCCCCCCGGACCCGGCUGAGGCCGCAUGCGGCGGCGCCAGCGCCGCCGCCAGGUGCCGCAGGUGCGCCACUGCGUUGCUGCGGCUGACGUGCAGCACCACAGCUGGCGCCAGCUCCGCCAGCGCCGGCAUGGCGGCGGCCAGCGCGCUGCGCAGGCCCACCGUCACGGUGGCGGCGCCGUGCAGGGCGUAGCCCUCGCGCGCCAUGGCCUUGAUGAGGCGCGGCAGCAGGUUGCGGCCCACCGCGCCAAAGUCCAGCGCCACCACGGCAGGCAGCCGCUGUGGGCCCGCCAGCAGCCGGCACAGCGCCGAGGGCGAGGGCAGCGUGGUGGCGGCGGCGGCCGCUGCCGCCACCGCCGCUGCCUCCGGCAGCGGCGGCCGGUGCACACCGUCGUGCAUACCGGGGUCGAGAUACACUUGCGCCAAGGAGAAGGCGCGCGCCAGGGCGGCCUUGGCGGCGGCCUGGGUGCGGCUGACCGCCGCCAGCAGCGGUGGCUGCGCCGCCGCCCCUGUCCCGCUAGGUGGCGGAGGCACAAGGGCCGCUGCCGUGGCGCCUGAUGCCAGCGGUGACGCAAGCGCGAGCGUGGGGUAAUCGCGCAGUAGCUUGUCGACCACGGCGGACCAGGCCGUGAGGUCAGCGCUUGUGUCACCGGGACGGGCCGCAGCAGUGGCGGCGCCGCCAUCCUGAGUCGCCGCCGCCGCUGUCGCCAGCCUGCUCACGGCCACCUGCAGCAGCGCCGCCACACGCGCCGCCGCCGCGGGGCCGUUGAACGCCGCCAGCAGCGCCGGGUGGCUGAUCACCAGCCGGUGCCGGCCGGUUGCGGCCGCCGCUGCGGCGCCAGCCGCUGCUGAGGGCGAUGACGACGUGGCAGUAGCGCCGGCUGGCUGCGGCUGUAGCACCGUCAGCGCGCCCGCCACGUCGGAGGGCACUUGGCGCAGAUAGCGCACGCCCACGAGCUCCAUCUGCUGCGCCGCCGCGCCGCCAGCAGCCACGCCGAUGGCUGCAGGCGCCGCCGGCGCCGUGACAUACGCUACCAGCGCUGCCAGCACCGCCGCCGCCGCGUGCAGCGGCCGCGCCUGCAGCGCCACCACCGCCACGCCAUCCUCGGCGUGUGCGUGCCCCGCCGCCGCCGACGCGGCGUCGGACGCACCAGCACCGGAUGCAAAGCCGGCGCCGCUGCCGUCCCAGCUGGCGCGGCCGGCGCCGUCAGCCAGCGCCGCCAGGUCGGGCGCCACGGCGGCGGCGGCGGACAGCAGCUGGUCUGCCGUGUACGGCGGCGGCAGCGAGUGCAGCUCCGCCGGUGUGAGUUGCUGACGCAGCGCAUCCGAGCUGCACAGCGGGCUCUGGGACACCACCGCCGCGGCACCGGCGGCUGCGGCGGCUCCGCCGCCGCCAGGCAGCGGCGGCAGCUCCGACAGCAGCACGGGCAGCUGCUGCGCAGCCUCCUCCUUGCUCACCUCCACCACGACCGCCAGCGGCCCUGCGGCGGAGGCGGACGCCGAGGCGUACGCGCCCGCUAGCGCGGCCGGCGGCAGCGCCGACAGCAGCAGGCCGCGCAGGCUGUAGCCGCACCACACCAGCUGCUGCACACACCACAGCGCGGCGGCCUGGCGCGGCGCGCCGGCUCCAGACAGCGCCAGCCACUGGCUCUGUGUGGGACAGCACGAGGUCAGCCCCCACACAGCGGCUCCUGUCGUAGCAGCACCAGCCGCCAAAGGGCUCGCGGCCGCAGCGCCCGGGGUUGCCGGCCGCGGCGACGCCGCGUCCACCCCACCCGCGCCGCCACAAAACAGCGCCGCCACCUCGCGAGCGCCCGCCGCCGCGUCGUACGACGCCGUGAUGUGUCGUACAGCAGCGCCGUACAGCGCAUGCAGCGAGCCGGGCUCCGCCAGCGCGGCCAGUCGGGCGUCGGGCGGCCCUAGCUGUGCCUGCCAUCGCCGCAGCGGCUCGUGUCGGCCGCUGAGCGCCAGCAGUGCGCCGCCGGUGAAGGGCGCGGGCCGGUGCGGCGUCGUCGCCACCAGCGACGCCGUGGCCUCCUCCGUCGCGUACAACACCUGCAGCCCGCGCAAGCUGAGGCCCAGGCGGCACGCGCGGCGCAGCAGCGCGCGCAGCAGCUCCGGCUCGCGCAGCACGCCCUCGCUCACAAGCGACACAAACGUGCUGACACCGGGCGGGUCCGCCGCCACACCCGCAGCAGCAGCUGCUGACCCAGAUGGCGUGGUUGCGGCGCCCGUGAGGCUGCUGCGCGGCGUGGAGAAGGCACCGCCGUGCUGGUGCAGGGCCUGUGUCGGCACACGCAGCACGUCGAACAGCUGAAGCGCCGCCUCCGCACCUGCACGCGCCGUCGCCCACGCGCCCACCGACUGCAGCGCCUGCGGCGUCGUGGCCGCAGCCUGCUCGCCACCGCCAGAGCUUCUGAUGCCCUUCGGCAGCACGUCCGCCCACUGCACGGCACCAAGCGCCGUCAGCAGCUGUGGCGCCGCCGCGGCGGCGGCCUCCGCGGGCAGGGCGUCGUGGCAGUAGCUGUCUGGGUCCACGCCUGCCCUGGCAACGCAGGCUACAGCCAGCACCCGCACCUCGCCGCCGCCGCCUCCCGCUGCCGAGGCCGAGGCCGGCGCGGCCGCCGGCCUGGCGAAGCACGCCGCCGCCGCUGCGGGCAGCAGUGGCGAGGAGGGCGACACGCCCAGCAGUCGCGCGCCUACCACGGAGAACGCCGGCGCGCCCUUGACCGCUCCUGAGGCGGCGGCUGCGCCGCCAGAAGCGGCGGCCGCGUUGAGCAGCCACUCAAGCAGCUGGCCCACCUCAGCGGUGGGCAGGUUUGACGGCGAUGCCAGCAGCAGCGUGAAGGCGCUGGAGGGCGGGAGCCAGGCCGGCAGGCGGCCCAGGUCGGUGUGCGGCGCGGAUGAGGGCGUUGCCAACGAGGCCGCGCCCACACCGUCGCUGACGCCGGAGAUGGAUGCCCGGCCUGCAGCUGCAGAGGCGAGCUGUAGCGAGGCGGGACGCGCGGCGUCGGCGCCGCCCGGGGCCGGCGCGGCCGGCGCGGCCGGCGCGGCCGGCGCGGCUGGUGCCGGCGCGGCCCUGGUCGCCACCGGUGACACGGCCGUGAUGCCGAUGUCGUUCGUGGUGCUGCUUCUGGGGCUCGCGGAAGCGGUGGUGACGGCGGCGGCGGCAGGCCCCAGCGGUGCCAGCACGGUGCCAGCCGCAGCCAUGCGCGCGCCGCGCUCGCGGCUGGCGUGCACCACCGUGGACGGCGUCGGCUCCGCCACCCACUGCUCGUCGCCCUCUGUGCUGCACUGCGCAAAGGCGCGGGCGGGCGCGCCCUCCUCCUCCUCAUCGUCGCCGUCGGGGCCCACCGCGGUGCUGGUGGCAACCGCCGGUGCGGAGGUUGCGGCAACGGGCUUUUUGGCUGUCGGCCCAACGCCAUUGGACAGGGGAUGCGCGCCGAUCGCCGCCUCGCGCUGCGCCACUGCAGGCGGCGGCGAGGGCCAGCGGCGCUCCGAUGCAGACUUGGCGGCCGCAGCGGCGGCGGCCGCCCCCGUUGGUCCUGCGUCCGCAUCGUCCUCGUCCUCGCUCCCCUCCUGUUCUGCUGCCCGUGCCUGCCGCUGCGCCUCCCGCUCCUGCUCCUGCUUUUGCUGCCUCGCCUUGAGGUACGCACGGAUGUCUUGCUGCCGCUCCUCCUCCUCCGCCUCCGCAGUCUUGUUCUCCGAGGUGCCCACGAACACGGACUUGGAGGCGCUGGCACGCAGGUCCGAGGAGUCGGUCCCUGUGCUGGAGGAGGCCACCGCGGUGGCGCUGCCGCCGCCCGCGGCGCCGCUGAGCGUCACGCUGCGACUGGUAGUGCUGCCAGCGGCGGUGCCGCUGGCAACUGCGACGGAGCUGGAGGAGGUGGACGAGUCGCUCAGCGCUGGCCGCCGCGACACCGCCGUUGCGCUGCCCGCGCCGGUAGUAACGGUCGAGCCGGGUGCCCCGGACACCGCCAAGUCAGUCGAGGCCCCUCCCGAGGCCGUGGCUGUGACCUUCUUCUGCGGCGCAGUUACUGCAGUCGCUGCCGGUGCAGGCGCGGGCGCGGCAGCGGGUGCAGCUGCCGGCGCUGGCGGUGGAGCUGGAGCAGGUGGCGGCGACUGCUUGGGGGGCGGCUGUGGCCUCACCUUCGCCGCCCGCCGCGCCGCUUCCGCCGCCUCGUCAUCCUCGCUAUCGUCAUCGCUGUCGACAACACGCCGCCUCGCCGCCGCCGCCUUGGCCUCCGAAGCGCGCGCCGCUGCCUCUGCCUCCAAUGCCUUGACUGCCGCCUCGUCCGCCUCACGCCGGUUUCGCUCCACCGUCUCGGCAAUGCUCUGGCGCAGGUCCAGCUUCACAGGGCCGGAGGAGCUGCUGUCAGCACCUGACUGUGCCGCCGGCGCGCCGGCGGCGGCGGGCGCCGCCGCGCCGGCCUGCGGCGGCGCGGCAAAGAACUUGAACUUUGCUGGCAUGGGCGGCAGCAGCGGCGCGGAAGCAGCGCCGCUGCUAGGCGACGGCGGUGCCGGCGGGCCCGCGGCAGCAGGUGGCGGCUUCGUAGUGGCAGUGGCUGGGGUUGGGGGCGCAGGUGCAUGCACCGAUGGCGAAGGCUUCACCGGCGGUGCCGCGGCCGGCCGUGGCGCCGGCGGCGUUGGUUUCUUCUCCUCCUCUUCAUCGCUCCACAAGCUGUCAGCGGCCGGCAGCUCCGUCGCCCAGGCGCUUUUGCCGCUACCAGACGCCGCAGGGGCCACCGCGGCUGCUGCCGAAGACUUGGCGGGCCCGGUACCACUGCCGCCGGCACCCAUGUCUGUGGCGCCGGAGCUGAGCCGCGCAAUGAGUGCAUCAAGGUCGUCUAGCCCCAAGCCUGCCACCGGGCCUGCAUCCAGGCUGAGUCCAGUCGCCGCCACGAGCAGCGGCUCCGCCUCCGCCUCCUGCAGGCGAUCCAUGCAGCGUGGCAUUCAGGGAGAUUGAGCAAAGUGGCCUGACCCCAACCACUAACGCUUUAAAGUUUCAUGCCGUCUUUGUACCGCGUUAUGAAUGCGACUUAACAAGAAGGGACAGUCCGAACAGCACCAUGUCCGACCUGCAUGCCGCCCGACCCAACUGCAGCCGAAACCCACAGCCCACUGCAUCCUCCCCACACCCCGAACCUUCCGCAGUCCCUCCCCACCUGGAUAGCUGCAUGGAAGUCCGCCGCGAUGCGCUGCUCCCGCUCCCGGUCUACUUCCCGCAGCUUCCGCAGCACCGCCGCACGAUCGGGACUGGUGCUGGACUCGGCACCCGCCAAGCUGCCGCUGCCGUCAUCACCAACCACUGACCCCGCGGCAGCCGAGGAGCCGGCGGCGGCGGGUCCUCCUGCCACGGUCGCGCCGAGUGCGUCGGCAGCCAACGACGCUGCAAUAGCGAGCUGCUGUAGCUGCAGCUGUAGCGCCGCGGCAUCACGUGCGGCCGCAGCAACAUGGUCAGCGUCGCUUGCUGCGGCCGCCGCCUGAGGACCAGGAUGAGAGGAAGCACGAGGAAUGACCGACAACCCCUUAUGAGCAGUGAGCGGGAGAGUUGUGUGCAACGGCCCCCUAAGGCACUGCAACCACGGGCAUGAUGUUGGCGCCGUAAUUAGGGCCCGGAGAGGACAAGCCCUAUGCUGCUUCUUGAGCCGCAUCCCCGCCGGUUCUUACCCGCUUGCGCUCCUCCACAUUUGCCAGUCGCCCAGCAGCGCCUGACAACCAGCCACGCCCCUCAUACUCCGUGUCCGCCGCGCCCCCGCCUGCACUGCUCCCGUCUUCAUCCUCAUCGUCCUCUGCGUCGCUACCCGCUUUUUGGGAGGCCCUCGCUUGAAGACGUGCAGCUGGUACUGCAGGACCUGCUGCAACGCAACACGGGGCCCAGGAGUGACAACACAGGAAAUGGUUAUUAGCAGCUGUAGCAAGGAGGUGCUGCCUUGCGGUCUAUCAUGGGCGUGCAGCCGCAUCUGCCGCGGUGGCUUCGGCUUCGGCACUGUGUCUGCCGCUCUCGCACCUGCACUGCGCCGCGCUGCUUGCUCUGUACGAGCAGGCGUUGACAGAGAGGAACGAUCGUGGCUGUGACCAGGAAGCGUAGCGAACUCCGCCCCGGCUGUCUGCUUAGAGCUGGGCAGUGCGCCGGGAACCGCUGCUGAGGGUGCCACGGGUUGCGGCCGAACCGCCACUCGUGGCGACUCCGCCGCGGGCAGCCGCGCUCGCCCAGGGCUCACCAGCUCCUGGUUUUGGUGUCGAACAUACCCGUCAAGUCAAACCAGCAAUCAGUACGGGUUGGGCUCAGCUCACCUCGUCGCCGAUCAUUGACUCUUGCGCUGCCCAGUUAAUAUGACUGAACACGACCUCCGUCUCGGAGUCAUCAUCGUCAUCAGAGGCCCCAUCUCCUCCAAUCGACGGCAAGUUCUGUAUGUACACAGAGAACAAUAGAAAUUUGUCAACAUGUCCCGCUGACUCCCGCAUGCUCGAGCCCAAUCCACGCCACCCAGAUUUGCAGUUAUCAAGCAUAAUGCGAACGCACAGUGAUGGCGGGUCGAAGCACCAGCGACGACAGGCGACGUUCGUGUGAGCCCUCGUCGCUCGAGCCUUCGCCUGAGCCAUCAGAGCUUUUCGGCAUGCUGGCUCGAUAUCAAAGCUCGAAGUUGAAUAGAUGCAGACCAAGUCAAAGAAGUCACCCCUGCAUCUUGAAAGACCGGAGUCCCGCUAUCCCCGGUUUGGUUCCUAAGUGAUGGCCACGGUGGUCUUCGAGUUGUAUGCUAUGUUCCAGUGCAAAGGUUUGUCUUGAUGGGCCAACGUAAAGUCGCCCGCCCGCUUCCCCAUGCACCGUGGCCGCCACGCUUCCCGUGCACAUGCGAAUUUGCAGCCCAGCUGCACGUACCGGUCUCCUUGCCAGGCCUUGCCAGCCUCCGCCGGUUGACCGGCUCACGGGCCGAGGUCCUUAACAGUUGGGGCGAGGGUUUGGGUGGAAUGCCCCAAGAUCCAGACCACCCCUCAUCCAGACGGUCAUCCAGAGUCCCAGACGGUUCAAGAGGCAUGAUCGGUGCCAACACAGACUUCGUGACCCGCCCGCCCGCCCUCACCCGCCCGUCUUGACGCCGACCGCGCCUCCUGGCGCCCCCCGCCUCCGCAUUCCUCGCCCCCUCGGUCCGGACUGAAGUGCCCCGGCCUCUCCUCACCCUCACGCUCACCGCCCCCAACAUCAACCCCCUUCCCUUUCCACCUUUUCCCGCGCAAUCCUGCUUCGCCACGGAGUUUACGGGGGGGGGGGGGGCGCACCAGUCGCCGUGGAUCUGGAUUACCAGGACCAGGAAGGCGGUACCUUUCUCCCCACGCCGACGAAUCUUCUCCACCGACUGACAAGUGUUCCCCGGUCACGGGAAAAGGGGCUGAGCCCCUCCACAGUCCCACCUGUCCCUCGGUACAUGGGCACGGGAUCUCGUGGCCUGCCGUUGAAAGCCACGACGCGCAUGCUGCCUUGCAUGCUGCCCUCGUUGGAUUAGCUUUGUUUGCAACGUUGUGGCCAGGGAUUGAUGUGACGGGGAUACCAUUUAAUGUCGUUGGCAGCGACACCCUCACGGGCACCCCUGGUGUUUGGGCAAUAUCCUCGGCUGCCGCGGCCAGGGGAAAACCUGGUAAUGACCCCUGCCUGUGCCACCCACAAGGCCACAACUCCUUGGCUGCUCAAAGCUCCUUCGCGCCACCCCCAAAAAAUGGUGCGCUCCACCUGAUGCAUCCUCAAUGGCAAGACACCGGUCGCCAGGUAGGACCGAACACAAACAAGGGUUCCCCAGUGCCUGGACUCCUGGAAUCGCAUUGAGACUGUGUCCAGUUCUGUGGUAGCCUCCGCGCAACCUACCCACACGAAUUAUGAAUAUGGGUGAUCUAUCUCCAGUUCUUCCUGUCCGCAAGUAGACACCCGGGUCGAGGCCACUGGCAGGGUCGGACGAGUCCUGCGCGCUGGCCAUCGUCCCUGUGCCCUUUGCGCAAUCAGCAUUGCGUCACCCAGCUUCGCUCCCCGCAACGCAUUGCAGAGGCCGUGCCGUGCAGGCCUCGGCCCUUAUUAAGACCAGCCACCUGC
rnacentral:lncRNA from 1 species